GAUCCUCAAACGAUGCAAUUGGCCCAAUUCUUUAGGGAGAUGGCCAUAGAAAUGGUUUCUACUCAAGUCGAGAGAGAGUAGAAAUGAAAGAUUUCCAAGGUGUGGAGGGAUACUACCCCUAAGAUUCAUGCUUUUAAGUUUGGAAACAAAUUCAACACAAUGUUUUUGGAGUUUGGAAAAAAUUAAAGUGAAAAACAUACCUUCUAAUUUGUUGUCAGAUAGUCCUAUUAUUUCGAGCAUAGUUGAAUUAAAAAUACUUGAUGGAAUCUGACCUGCACAUAUAGUUGAAAAUUGAAGUGAAAAACAUACCUUCUAAACUGUUCAACUAAAAAAACUUUAAGCAUAUUUGUUUUUCCAUCAAAUUAACUAUUUUGCCUUGAAUGAAAUAAAAUGCUCUUACUUUUGUUAUUUAUUACUAAUCAAACUCUUUUCUAAAAAAAAACUUUAAAUUAAGAAACUAAGAAAAUUCGGUACCUUCUAGGUUAUUAAACCCUAAAUAUAACUUCUGGAGUCGUGUUAGAUUUCCAAUACUUCUUGGAAUGAUACCCAUAAAUUGAUUAUAGGACAACGACAAAUUUUUAAGGUUGUUGCAUUUGCCCAUGCCAAAUGGAAUGUUACCAGAUAAUUCAUUCCAACUCAGGUAAAGCCCUUCAAGCUUGGGAAGAUGUUGACACAUAUCAUUAGGCAAACUACCUAGGUUAUUGUUGGAGAGAUCAAUGGUCUUCAAAGAAGAAAUGUUGAAGAUCGAAGUUGGAAUCUGACCUGUAAGGCCUUUAAUUGCUUUAAUAUUAAGCAAUACCAAAUCAAGAAUAUUACCGAUUUCCAAACCAAGAAUUUAUAGAAGAAACAAAUUUAACACAAUGUUUUUUGAGUUUGGAAAAUGUUAAAGUGAAAAACAUACCUUCUAAUUUGUUGUCAGAUAGUCCUAUUAUUUCGAGCAUAGUUGAAUUAAAAAUACUUGAUGGAAUCUGACCUGCACAUAUAGUUGAAAAUUGAAGUGAAAAACAUACCUUCUAAACUGUUCAACUAAAAAAACUUUAAGCAUAUUUGUUUUUCCAUCAAAUUAACUAUUUUGCCUUGAAUGAAAUAAAAUGCUCUUACUUUUGUUAUUUAUUACUAAUCAAACUCUUUUCUAAAAAAAAACUUUAAAUUAAGAAACUAAGAAAAUUCGGUACCUUCUAGGUUAUUCAACCCCAAAUAUAAUUCUUUGAGUUGUGUCAGAUUUCCAAUACUUUUUGGAAUGAUCCCCAUCAAUUGAUUAUAGGACAAUGACAAAAUUUUAAGGUUGCUGCAUUUGCCCAUGCCAAAUGGAAUGUUACCAGAUAAUUCAUUCCGACUCAAGUAAAGCCCUUCAAGCUUGGGAAGAUGUUGACACAUAUCAUUAGGCAAACUACCUGGUAGGCUAUUGCUGGAGAGUUUAAUAAUCUUCAGAGAAGAAAUAUUGAAGAUGGAAGAUGGAACCUGACCAAAUAAUUGAUUGAAUCCCAAGUUCAAGAUCUCUAGAUUAGACAUGUUAACAAGUGUUUCAGGGAUUGUGCCUGUAAAGUUAUUAUUCUUCAUUUCCAGCCUUCGAACUCUCUGUAAGUUCCCAAGCCAUGAUGGAAUUUCCCCAUUCAGACGGUUGUAGCUUAAUUGAAGGAUCCUCAAACGAUGCAAUUGGCCAAAUUCUUUAGGGAGAUGGCCAUAGAAAUGGUUGCUACUCAAGUCGAGAGAGAGUAGAAAUGAAAGAUUUCCAAGGUGUGGAGGGAUAGUACCCCUAAGAUUCAUGCUUGUAAGAUUCAAAGCUAUAACUCUUUUAUGGAGGAUGCCACAAGAAACACCAAUCCAAUUGCAAACAGAGGUUGAGGCCGUCCAAUUGUUUGCCAAGACAUUUUGAGGACCGGCAAUGCGAUCCUUAAACUCGAGAAGUGCAAACUGAUCGGAGUUGAGAUUCCUGACUGUCAUACCCCAGCAAAGUCCGGAACAUGGUAUGAAUAAAGCUAAAAGAAGAUGAAAGCAAGUGUUGUAGUUCAUGAUAGCAAGACGGAAUAAGCCAAGAAAAUAAAAAAAAGUAGGACAAGGGAAGUUGAGUUGAUAAAAUAGUUUGGAUGAUGAAGAAAAGCCCAGAGAGCAUGCUUUAAUAUGUUUUGAAGAAAUUUCAAAAUAAAUUUCAAAAUAAAUUUCAAAAUAAAAAUUUAAAAAGGAAAGCAAAGUUUUGAAGAAAUUUCAAAAUAAAUUUCAAGUCUUCUUCUUUAAAAAAUACGUACAAAGAGCGAAUUUUCAAAAUUUUUCCUAAAUUUUCUUCACAUUACUCCACAUAAUCCAUUAAAAAAACUUAAAAAAUAUAUUUUAUUAAUUACUAUACAUUCUUUUAUUUUCAGAAUAAUAAAUUGUUUAAAAUUUGCUAUUAGUCCCUAUAAUUUAAAAGUUAAAAAAAAUUCAAUCCUCCUACUUUUCUAAUUUAAAAAUUUUAGUUCAAUCAAUUUUAAUUUUAAAAUCUCUGUAUAAAAGGUGUUUUUUUUGUGACCGAUCACACUUAACCAAUAUUUAAAAAUUAAUAAAAAAUAUUUUUUUUUGAAAUUUAAAGUGAUCUAAAAACAUAUUUUUAAGUGCUUUGGACCGUCUAUUGUUGAUUUCCUUAUUAUAUUAAGUGUUUGCAAUCACUCCUAAUAUAUUGUGCUUGAGUUGUGACAAAGCCGAUCAUCAAAUUGCCAUAAUGAUCUAUUGAUGCUGAAAUUGAAGUUUUUGUUAUAUUGAUAGAGCUUGUCCUUCAACGCGUACAACGUGUUUGUUAUUUUUCUCCCUUCAAAUUGUAUGAUCUUAUUCAUUAAAUGAAUUAAUGAAUUUCCCUUUUAAAAAGAUAUAUUUUUAAAAAUUAAAUACUUUAUAAAAUAUUUAAAAAUUUGUAAGCCUUAAAACAAUCAACAAAAUAUUUUUGAAAUUUUAUAAAUAUAUUUUAAAACUAUAGUAACGCUACAAAAUAUAUAUAUUUACUAAUUAUAUGCACCUUUUUUAUUUUUAUUUCCUAACAUAUCAUUAUUUUCAACACUAUCGUAAUCCUGUUUUGAUAAUUCCCUUUCCAUACAUCCUUUUUCUACAUAGAAUUUCAAAAGAAAAUGUGAAUUAAUGUAAACGUGAGAAGACUUAAUUACAUUUAUUAGUUUAUCAAUCAAAACUUAAUUAGAAUCCAUCAAUAUUUCACACAUCAAAAACCCAAACAUAAAAUUCACUUUUAAAUUAUUUGAAGAUACAUUUGUAUUAUAGGAAAUCGAUUAAAUUAGUCUUUUAUUAUUAAAUGUAUUAUUUUAAUCUUUGUAUUAGGUAUGAAUGAUAUCUCCUAAAUUGAAGCCAGAGCUAUUCUUGAAAGACUGAAAUUAGGAUUCAGAUGUGUUGAGAUGGAAAGUGACAACACAAUGUUGAUUGAAACUAUUUGUAACAGGUUGACUACAAUAAGUAGUGCUGCCGAAGUAAGACAGAUUCACGAUUGGUGUUCCAAAAAUUGGGAAGUCAAAUUUAGACAUAUUCAGCGGAAUGCCAAUAAAGUUGUUGAUUGCAUAGCUAAGGCAAAUGGAGGCGUAAUUGAGCAGCUGGUUAUCUUGGAAGAUCCUCUGCAUUAUGUGAGAUGGUAGCUUGAAGAAGAUAUUAGACAGUCACUAGUGACUGAUGAUAAUUUUCAUUUGGACUGAUGAGCGCUUAAUUUUCUAAGCUUAUGUUCAACAAAAAAAAUUUUAACUACGUUUAAAUUGUAAUAGAGUUAACAUUUAGUGUUUAAAAAAUAUCUUAAAAAUUAUUAUUUUUUCCAAUUGCAGUUCAAUUCCACAAAUAUCGACGAUGAAUCCGGACAUAAAAAUUAUAGAAAAAAAACACAUCUAUUAUCAAACCAACAAUCCAUGUCUAAACUUAAAUUAACAAAAUUUGCCACGCAACGCCCAGUACACUAUUAUAUAUAUACUAGAUUUAUUCUAGAUGCACAUGUUUUAUUAUAUUUAAAAUUUAAAAUAUAUGGUUGACUAAGUGUUAGUUGAGUUAGUAUUGCUAUUAUUGUCAGUGUAAGGAAAUGUGAGUUUAAUUGCGCUCAAAUGUGUUUUAUCCUCCAAUUCAAGGGUUAGGAAAAGGUUAUUGAUAAUUAAGUUAUACCAACUUUUAUGAUAUUAAAAAAAGGAUUUAUAAAUAAUAUAAGGAAAAGAAAGAAAGAGAAACAUAUUCAUAUUGAUGGGCUCUUUCAAUAUUAGACUUUUUUUUCUAUCACAAGUAAAAAUAUCAAAGGUGAUAAUAAUUAAAUUAUAAAAUUUAAAUUGAGAAAAUAGGGGAUUGAGUUUAUAAGUUUUAAAGUAUAAAGAAUGAAUAUAUAACUAACAACAUAUUUUAACCACAUAAUAAAAGUAGUUAUGGUAAAAUAAUGACCUGAAUAAUUUUAAACGUCUCAUCCUUGCAAAAAUGAAAUAAUAGAAAAGAAAUAAGUGUUGGGUGUAGUGGCAAUGUACAUCAUACUUCUAAGGGGAGAUUAGGGUUUUAGACAAGGGAAGAAUUUUAAACUUGCUCUUUUCUCUAGAACUCAACGCAAACCUCAAAUUUAUCUUUUUAAAAGAAUUUAAAAAUAUGUAUAUAAAAGGUGAUUUUUUUACCGAUCACACUUAACAAAAUUUUAAAAAAAAAUGAAAUUUAAAGUGAUCUAAAAACAUAUUUUUAAGUGCUUUAGACCAUCCUGUGCUGAUUUCUUUAGUAAUUUGAUUUGUUCAAUAUAGAUUUUGGUAACUUAAAACAAAAUUAAUAAAAAAUUAUUUUUUUAGAUAUCUUUUUAAUGUUUAAUAAUAAGUUAAUUUAUAAAAUAUACUUUCAUUGGACACAGGGCCUCCAAGGCGGUGAACCACUAAUCAAAUUAAUUUUGAGAUACUUAAAUUUGUUUUCAUCAAUUAAGAAAUUAAAAAAAUUGUUGAGACCUCAUGAUUAUGUUUUAUAAUUUCAGGCUUAUCAACUAUUUUGAAAAACAACAAAACGUCUUACACCAAAAACUAAAAAAUAAAAACGUCGACAUUAAAUUUGUUGGCAUGCAAUCAAUUUUAAGAUGGUUUUUGGAGUUAUAUAUCACCUUAGCAUUGACUUACUUUUCUACAGUUUGUCUUCUCCAACAAGUUAAAUAUUUCAAUUUUAACAACAUUGACAGGUCUUUGGGGUAGGGUCGAGCAAAAUUCAAUAAAAACAGAUGAUAUAAGUUGAGUUGGCUCGGCCAAGUCGAGUCGAUUUGUUCAAAUUAUUUAAAUUAGUAAAUUUUAGGGUGCAAUUAGAAUUUUUUGUUUUGAGAUGCUAAUUAGAUUAAAAAAUUUCAGUUGCUAAAACAAAAAAAUUGUAUUUAAAAAGGCAUAAAUUAAAUAAUUAAGUUUUUCGAGUUUCCAUUUAAUCAAAGGUUAAAAGGACUAAAUUGAAGCUUUUUAUUUUUAAGAAAGGCUGAAUGACAAAUUGCCCAAAGCCCAUGGCCCUAGCUAUACAACUAACUUUUCUAUGAUUAGUCCUUGGUUUGCUUUGGGUGAAAUCUUCCAACUAGCCUCAUCCUUGGUUUUACUUUCCAACAAUUAGUGUAUCGCGGGUUUUGUUUUCUUUAAAAAAUAUUUGUGGAUAUUAGGAGAUAAUGAAAAUUAUUUUACUAUGAAAUUUUAAUAAAACUGGAAAAUAAGUAAUUUAUUUUAAGAGAUCACAAUUAAACGUUAGAUUUCCCCUUUUUAAAUUAUAAAUUUUUUUUUGACAAUUGCAUAAUAUUUUGAGCGUUGUAGGAAUGCCAUAAUAUAACCUUCCCUACGCAUAAUCGACUCUUGAGCAUGAUGGAUCCUAGACCUUCUCCUCUAUUCUCGUACCACAAAUUGCUUCAAGUGUGGGUUCGAACAAUCACAAAUUAAACGCAAAACCAAAAAUGAUUUAUUACUUUCAAUAGCAAAGUAAUUCUCUCUCAAUAGAAACCAAUAGAAUUGUAAUUCCUAGAAAAUAAAAUUUAUUUUUUGAAAAUAUAUUCUCACUACUUUCUAGCAGAAUAACAAUAUGUGAAACUUAUGUCUUGUGUUAAUAGCUCUACCAGUACUAUCUAUUUAUAGGGAGAGACACGAGAAUCCUGGUUGAAUUAGUAAAACACGAAUAAUAUUUAUUUCAUAGAAAACAAUAUUCCACCCUAAGUAGAUCAAGUUUGUAUGACGCAUGGAUCAAAGCUCAAUCUAGGAGAAAAAAAACAAAGGAAUUUUCUUUGUAAAGAAAAUUUGAGAUUGUACUAUUUUCAAAGUUAUAAAUAAAAUUAUACGCCAAAUUUUCAAGUCAAUUUUCAACUCCAAUUUUGUAUGCACAAAUUUCUAAUACACUUGGUGGGACAUUCUUUGACUUUUAUCUAUUCUCUCAAAAAGUUAAAGUUCAAAGUUACAUUAAACUCAAAGAAGAUAUUCAUUAGUAAACCACCUCACAAGCCUGCUCAAGCUAAUCCUACAACUCGUUCCACUUCAUCAUCAAACACCAAUAUUCUUGCUUAUCCUUAUGGAAUUAAACAGUCUCAUUUUCUGCAUUUUGGGUACACACUUAGUUUUGUUUGAUGCUAAAACAGUCCCCGAGCACUCCAAAACCUAUAAUUGAACAAAUAAUACUAAUUUAAUCUUACAUAACAUGAUCCCAAAUUGAAAUUGUAUCGAGGUUUUAACCCAUAAGUGACUAAACCUUACCUUCAACCGAUGAACAGUAAUUCCCACACAAACUAAGACUCCAAUUGGAGAUUACGAGCCAUUGAAUCCUCCCCUAAUUGGCAUAAACAAAACACUUCAAAAGAAAGUUAACAAAUGGAGACAAAUCACUUAUCUAAAACUUACCGAACGAUCACAGAAAAACGUGGAGUGACACGAGGCAGAGUGGGAAAAGAAAAAUCAAGAGGAUGAAGGGUGAAAGAGAGCAAAAAUUCGGUAGCAAUGAAGAGAAAAACAGCAAGAAAGUGGAGGGAUUUUAGGGAAAGUAAAAAAAAAGAUGAAUAGAAUAUUUGAUAACUACCCAAUCCCUUAUUUCUCUCUAUCAAACUCCCCACUAAAUCCACUACUCGAAUUUUUAGUCCAUCUCAAACUCUCCUGGACGCACGAGCAAAAAAUAAUGACCAUGCCAAAAUUUAAACAAAAGACCUCCUUCACACCAACACUCCACUUAUCCACCAGACCAAUAGGCUCAUUCUUUUAAUUAUUUUCCAACUUUUACUUAAAAGCCUACUGACCAAAGAUAGGGCUUAUUCAUAAAAAUACCAAAUUUUGCCCAAGACCUGGCUUGAACUUGGGACCUCUCAAACACACCCAGAACACAUAACCACUAAAGCAGACAGAAAUUUUGUGUCACACAUUCACAAUACCCAAAAUUAAAAUUUUAGGGCGUUACAAAAACACAUUAAACAAUAUCGCAUAAAACAAUCACAGUCAGAUAACAAUUCAGAAUGUCGAUUUUACAAUUUAACCACCAAUAGUAUCAUAGUAUUCACAGUUGUAAUUUCAGAAUAUCAAAUUUCCACAUCAUUCACAAUAUUCACACAUAUAUAAAUAUAUCAUAAUAGAAUUCUAGAUUUGUAUGCACAUGAUUUAGAAGAUGCCAUACAAUUUUGGGUUUUAACAGAAUAAAUCCUACCCCACAUUACAUACCAUAAUGGGAGUUCCCCUAAACUCCCUUCUCCAACACACUAGGUUGUGGAUAAACCACUAUUGGUUCACAAAUAAUAACUGUCAUUUGGCUGUGGACACAUAGCAAGUCCCCGCAAUUGGAUUCUAGAUUUGGUUGUGGAUUCACAGCAAAAAAAUCCUACAAAUGAAGCCUGCUUUUGCCUGUAGAUUAUACAACAUAUACCCGCAGUUGGAAUCUGUCUUUGGCUGUGGAUGCAGUGUAACACCUCAAACUCGACCUAGACGUUAUGGCUAAAUCUUAAUGAUUUACUUUAACUCGCUAGAAAGCCCACGAAUUUACUUUAAAAUCAUGUGGUUAAACUAGUGUUCACUUUGAUAAAUCGUUUUCCAGUUUUAGAGAAAAUUCUUGUUAAAACUGUUACUUUAUUACAAUAAAACAUUGAAGUAAUUGUAUCAUUUUGUAGUGGAAUCUACUAAGCUAUAAGGUUUUGAAAAUCGUGAUUUAGUUUGAAACAAAUCAUUUUGCAAAUAGAAAUUUAAUACUACUUAAUUUGGAAAAGCACGCUAAAACGAAAGCAAAGUCCAAAAUAAUUUACGGUUUGAAAUUCUAAAAAGCCCAAAUUAGUCAUAAAGUCUAUUUAAACCAAUUUAUCGAAAGUGUAACACCCUAAACCCGGCCUGUAUGUUAUGGCCAAAUCUAGAUGUGUUACGAAAAAAAGUUUAUAAAACGACUUCCUUGUUAUUGGCAAAUCAUCGUAGCCAUUAUUACUUAGUAUAUCUGAUUUGUUUGGAAAACUUAUUGAUAUACUUAUUUGAUUUAAAAUCGUUGCUCACUUACGCCUUUUUAUUAAACCAAAUAUUUUGCAGCGGAGUUUCUUUAAAACAUCAUAUUUUGGAAAAUCAAAUUGUUUCUUGAAAAUCGUUAUUUUAGAAAAGUUGUCAUUUUCAGAAAAAUUAUUUUAUCAGUUGUUAUGCUGAGAAAACAAAAUAAAAUCCAAAACCAAAAAUAGUCCCAAAAAGUCUAGAGAGUCCCAAAAUGACAAUACUCUUAAAACUAGACAAGUUUAAACUAAUUUUAAAAGAAUGAAAUUUUACAGAAAUGUGGACACCACUGAGCUUCCGUCGCACCGACCCACCUAAAUCUGAGGGUUACUUGAACAGAAUAAACAAACAGAGAGUGAGUUUUGAAACUUAGUGUCUAACGCGUAUAUAAACAAAAAUUCAGAAUCAAUCUCAUGCAGAACAGAUACAAGUGUAAACCUUUUAUAAAAUUAGAAUUAUACAGAUACAAAUAUGCAACAUCCUACCCUCAUCCUCUACACACCAACUCCGACCAUUCUAUCACACCACGUGGGGUAUAAAAUACCCACCCAGCCCUACACACCGUAUAGUAUUUAUAUGACACUUUUUGGAAUAAUCGCAGCAGAGUUGCCAGUAUAUAGGCGAGAUAUCACCUCACACAGAACACUUCCUCCUCAUAAUACAAAUCCCGCCCCAUAGCCAGAUACAGACAAAAUAUCAUGUAAAAUAAAUUAACAGAUACUAGAGUUAACAUAUCACGCAUGAGCGUAUAAUAGAUAUUACACAUGCUUAUGCAUAACAAAAUAGAUCAUACAUAUUGUAUUCCAUAAUACUCAUAUAAAUGUUAUUUACGUCAAUCUCAAUCUAAUAGAGUAGCUGAUUUCAUGCUUUAACUCUUAUACCACACAUACAGACCCUAUAGAAGGCCCACAGUUGAUCGAGACAACAUGUAUGUCCCUAGGGAAAAAAUUUGUAAUUUGGGCCCAUAUGCAUGUAUGAGCCCACACACCCAAAAUGGCCUUGCCCAUGUGGCUCACCUACCUAGCACUCAGCCCAUACGGUCCAAAAUGGCCUAGGUCGUGUGUCACACACAGCCGCAUGUUGCACACAGCCUACCACAUAGCGAGUCACAAAACCGUUUGGAGUUGACAAGCCUAAUUUUUGGCUUUCGUCAAUCGUCAUUUUCUUACGUUUUCAUUACACACUUGGUUUGAUUCUGACCCAAAAGCAACCCUAAGUCCACCGAAACCUAAAAAUAGCAUUCCAAUGCCCAAUUUCAGUGAACAUUUACAAAACUUAAACAAAAACUAUCCAAAAACAUAGCCUCACAAUAGCAUCCAAUGCACUCGCACACUUACCGUCAACGAAUAGGAAACACCCAACACUCAAUUCGUUGGCGGAGCACCAAUUAUGAUAAUGCAAAAAUUUUAUGGAUUCUCAACACUAUCGAUCCAAAUGUAAGAUUGAUGCUUUCCAAUUAUGAUAAUGCAAAAAUUUUAUGGGAUGGUUUACAUGAAUUUUUGUUGUUGUCAACGAUCAAUGUAUUCAAUAAUUAAAAGAAAAUAUUAGUCGUUGUUAGAAAACCAAUACUAUGAGUGUUGUAGUUUAUUUCAGUAAAUUAAAGGUUUUGUGGGAUGAACUAGACAAUCAUGAACAAUUGAUUUAUUGCAAGUGUGGACAAUGUUUAUGUAACUUAGGGAAGACGGAUGAACAAUGUCGUGAGCAUGAUCGACUUCAUCAAUUACUUCUUGCUCUCUAUUCUAAUUGUUAUGCUCAAACUAGGUUUACAUUGUUUUACCAAGAUCCUUUGCCUUCCUUAAAUCAGGCAUUCCAACAAAUUACUUAGGAGGAACAUGUACGUGGAAUUACACUGAUUAAGGAAGAGAAGUCUGAUAUUUUAGGCUUUGCUUUGCAUACAGAAGGUCAUAACAAAGGCCGAGCUAAUUGUAUUGAUAAGUCAACCUUGUUGUGCACUCAUUGCUAUCGCAAAAGGCAUGAGAUGGCUACCUAUUUUGAAUUACAUAGCCACUUGGAUUGGCGGCUUAAGAAGUAUGGGAAGCCAGAGAAGAAAAGUGAUGAUCGUGGUGGUAAGACAAGUGCACAUCUUCCACGUAAGUAUUUUAUUUCAAAGGAUCACAAUUAAACAUUAGAUUUCUCAUUUUUAAAUUUUUUUUAUUUUUUUAACAACUACGUAAUUAACGAGUACCAAUUUUGGGUGUUGUAGGGGUUCUAUAACUUUCCCUAUAUGUAAUCGACUCUUGCACCCUCUUUUUUUCUCUAGAAUUCAAUGCAAACCUUAAAUUUAUCUUUUUAAAAGAAUUUUAAAAUCUCUUUAUAAAAGACGAUUUUUUUAGGUGACCAAUCACAGUUAAGAAAAACAAAUCGGUGGCAACUCCUUUCUAAUAAAUGUAAAAAACUUUUUAAACAAAAUAAGGUUGAAAUAAUCUAGUUGUCGUUAUACUUUGAUAAAAUUUUAGAUUUAGUCCUUAUACUUAAAAGGUUAAAAAUUAAGUCUUGUUUUUAUUUAAAAAUCUUAGUCCUAUCGUUAAUAUUGUUUUUUUUUUGUCAAAAUUUGUCAAGUUGACAUAUUAAUUAGGUUUCUCUUAUAUAUCGUGGUAUAUGACUAACACAAAAUAAACAAGUUGACAAAUUCUACAAAAAAUAUCAAAGAUGAUAAUAGUUUAAUUAAAAUUUUUAAAUUAAAAAAGUAAGGGAUUAAAUUUAUAACUUUUAAAGUAUAAUGAAUGAAAUUAUUGAAAUACAAGAACUAACAACAUAUUUUAAAAAUAUUACUAGUAAAUUAUAUAUCUACAACAAGAAUUGUAACCUCUUAUAUUAUAUUCUUGUAUUUAUUUUUGCAUCUUUCAUAAUAUGAUUUAUUAAUUUUAAUAUUUUUAUAGAAUAAUAUGCUUUAAAUAGUUUUUUGUAUCAUUUAUAAAAAUUAUAAUAAACUUACAAAAUAAUUUAAUGAUAUUUAAUUAUUAAUCGAAAAAAAUGAUAUCAUAUAUAUUAUGUAUAUAUUAAGAUUCCAAAUCAUUAAUUAUAUAUCUACGCAUUAUAAUAAAUUCAUCUUUCAAAAUUUUCCUUAUAAUUAAAGCAUAAAUUAUAUUUAUAAUAAUAUAAAUAUAUUCUAUCAUAAAUAUUCUUUCAAAUAUUUUUUAAUGUUUAAUAAUAAGUUAAUUUAUAAAAUAUUCUUUCAGUAAAUUAACGUGAUGAGAUCGUUAGGUGCUUGGAUUUGGUGAAGGGGGAUGAAGAGAAAAGGGAUGGAAGUGAAUAAAAAUGUUGAGAAAUGGAAAGGGUUAGCGAGGGAAGCCGCCAUGAAAGGUGGUUCAAUGGAUAUGAACCUUCAAGCUUUUGUGGAUGAUGUUACUCAAGGUUGUUGCAAGUAAAUUUAAAAAUGUUUUUAAAUUAUUUUUUUGUUAAAAAAACAUUUUUUACUUUUUUAUGUGGCAUGCCACAUUAUCAUACUAUCAUGUGACAAUUUCUGGUGAUUUCUGUCCGCAACAUUAGUCAAAUCAACUGUUAAAUCGUUCAACUCACAGUUUUUGUUAAAUGAAGAGGUUAAUUGAUUUUUUUUUGGAAUCAUUGAGUACUCAAUUGGUGCACUUUUUUCAUAAAGGCUAAAUUAAUUUUUUAAUUUGUUAUUGUUGAAGGCUAUAGCAAUAAAAAAAAUUGAGGUAAAAAAAUAUUAGAGCUAAAUUUGUCAUUAUGCCUAAAAUGUAAAACCAAAUUUUUUUGAAAAUGAAAAAAAAUGGAAAAUCGCAAAUUCCGUCGCAUAUUUUUGCUUAAAAUUAUAGUUUUGGUCACCAAUCUUUUGAAGUAAAUAUAGGUCACCAAUAUUAUCAAUUUGUUACUUUGUAAUAACUCACCUUAAGUUAUACCCCGACGCACGAAAGGAUUAAAUGACAUUGGGAUACCAUCAAACUUGUAUCUUAAAUACACAUUUACCCCUAAUUUUAUCACAUUCUUCUUAAUUGGUAUUUAUGGUUUAGAAAAUUUUACAAAUAUAUUAUUUUUUAAGAAAUUAUAAGAAGAUUACAAAAAUUCCAAAAUAAUAUAAAAAAGCUAAGGAAAACCUAGAAAUUCAAAAAAAAAAACGUGGACAUUGAAUUUGCUGUUUCACAUUAAAUUUUUGGAGAAGUAGAAUUUUCUAACUUAUUUUCCAUCAACUUCACUUCAAUUUUCAAUCACAAUCUAUUGCAUUCAAGAGCACCACAUCUUUUGGGAUGAAACAAACCUCUCAAUUUUAAGAUAAACGGAAUCUAUUGCAUUCAAGAGCACCACGUCUUUUUGGAUGAAACAAAGCUCUCAAUUUUAGGAUAAACGGGUCUUUAGGGUUAUAAAUUGAGGUCCUUUUCCACAAUUGCGGGUGAUUCGUUGAUAAUAACCUCAACAUUUCUGUAUCACAUUUAAUUCAAUUCCACAUUCAAUUUUUAGUUUUUAGAGAGAUGAUUGGGUUACAACAAUGGUUUGAAGUGAAGAUAUUUCAAAACAAGAUGAAUACUCUACCAAUAGUCAUAAUUUAAAAUGCAGGUUAUGUUUCAUUUCAGCUAAGUUAAAUGUUAAGAUUGAGGUUAAACCUUUUAGAGGUUGCUCGCAAAAGGAUCAAACCUUUAUAAAAUUGUUUAAAUGAAGGUCAAACCUCUUAAAAUAGACAAAUAAGGGCCUAACCUUUUAAAAGGUGUUCAAAUAAGGGUUUCUCAAAUUUUGUAUAUCAGGUUAUGUAUUUUACUCUAAACACAUCGACAUUUACCUAUUUUUUCUAUAAAUUGGGUUGAAGUGCAUGAAAAAACCUUAUUUAAGCACUUCUGUAAAGGUUAAACUCUUAUUUGACUAUUUUGAAAGGUUUGAUCCUUAUAUAAGCAACCUCUAAAAGAUUGAGUACUAAUUUGACAAGAUUGAGAAAUACCUAAAUUUGUUUUCAUGAAUCAAGAAAAUAAAAAAGAAAUGUUGAGAAAUAUUUUAGAGAUUCUUAGCUUUGACAAGUUCCCUCCAUCAUCUUCCUGCCUCCAGUCCCACCUCUUCUCUUAUGCUCCUCCCAGCUUCUUGCUUUUUGUGUGUUGAAAUUUCAAAGGAACAAAAUAUCAACCUACAUCAUAAGGCACGAUUGCCAGAACUUUACUUUCUAGCCUGUCGAUCCGAUCCAAUGAAAGAAGAACAAAGAGUCUCAAGAUCUGUCAACUUUAUUUCAUUUUCAUUUUCUUUGUCAUUUUCUAUGUUUCAUGUCGAAUACAAUGAAAGAACAUAGAAAAAUGUUGCCUAUUUAUUUCCCAAUCAUCAUGAAAUUACUUGCCAUAGACUUAGAAUUUUCUCACCAAUUUUCAAGCAAUCUGACAUGAUUUCUCAAUCACAAUUAAUUGAAUUCAAGAUCUUUUUAGAUGACACAAACAUUUCAAUUUUAACACAAACCAAUAUUUAGGUUGUACUUCAGUGCUUGACAAGCACUUUCACAUUUGUGGGAUAAGAACUCUUAACAUUUUAGGAUCACAUUUAAUUCAAUUGCAUUUAAGACCUCACGAUUUUAUUCUAUAAUUUCAGUCUUAUCAGCCUUUUCGGAAACAAUAAAACGUCGACAUUAAAUUUGUUGUUGAUGCAUUCAAUUUUUUGAGGGGUCUUUGGAGUUAUAUGUGACUUUAGCAUUGACUGACUUUUUUAUAAUUAAUCUUUUAUAAUAUAUCAAUUUUAAUAACAUCGACAUGUUUUUUAGUAGGGUCUAGCAAAACCCAAUUAAAACCGAUGAUAUUGGCUUAGUUGACUCGGUCAAGUCCAUUAGAUUGAUAAAAUCAAUUUUAAAAUCAGUUAUAAUGGAUUAAGGUAAUUAAUUAUCGAGUAAUGAAAUACAUAAUCAAAUCAAUUGAUUUUGUUAGAAACUAAAAGAAAAUGAGAUAAGCUGAAAACUGAUUGCCCUUUAUUAAAAUUAACGAAUCCGCCCUUUACGUAUUAGAUAAUACGAACAUCACAUAUAUAAUAAGAAAAAUUACGUAUGAUUAUUUAUUAUCAUAAAAGGUUAGUUUAAAUUUAAAGUAAUCUAAUAUGUUUAUUGAACUUCAACUAUUAAAUAAAGUAUAAGCUAAAUAAGUAUAAAUAUUCUAGAAACCAUUUCUAACUGAUGAUAGGCUAAUUCGAUUAAUUUAUAAAAACUACAUAGUAGGGUUAUAGUCCUCAAACUACACCUAAUUUAAUAAUAUUUAUAGUUUUUUUUUUAGCCUUAAACAUUUAUAGUUUUUUGUUAAUUUGGUCCUUACUCUUUAAAAUUACAUAAAAAUUGCAAAAAAAAUUAAAAUUAAUUUUUUUUCAUAAUUUUAAUAACAUUUAUAGUUUUUUUUUUGUGUGUGGUUUGGUAACUUAUCAACUCGACUCUCACUUGUAACCAACUUUUCUAACCUUUUUCGUACCCUUAACCUAAGUCCCGUUACAACUUUCUAAAGACCUCUUUAUCAGUGUAUCAUGUCGGUUUGUUUUAUAAUGGUGGAGAUUUGUUUUUUGUAGUGGCACGAUUGCCAGAACUUUACUUUCUAGCCUAUCGAUCCGAUCCAAUGAAAGAAGAACAAAGAGUCUUAAGAUCUGUCAACUUUAUUUCAUUUUCAUUUUCUUUGUCAUUUUCUAUGUUUCUUGUCAAAUACAAUGAAAAAAGAACAUAGAAAAAUGUUGCAUAUUUAUUUCCCAUUCAUCACUCUAACAGGCCCAAUUAGCCCAGGCCCAAACAUUAAUAAAAUGUCUAGAUUACAAAAUAAUCAACUAAAAAUUAAAAGCUCAAAAAAUAAAAUAAAACCCAUUAUAUUAACCCAAAACCCCAGCCCAAUUACAUUGAAACCCAAAAAAAAAAUAGUUUUCAGAAACCCCUAGGGUUUCAGAAGCCCCUCAAUGUUAUUUUGUAUAUCUAUUUAUCUUUUUAAAUUUUCGAUAUUGUCUUGUUUUGUUUUUGUAUUAUUGUUGUUACCAUCAUUAUUCAUUAUUAUUAUUGUUGAUUUUAUUGUUCUUUGAUUAAUGUUAAUGUUAGAGUAAUAGAUGUUAUGUGAUCAUUGUUAUUAUAUGUUAUAAUUUGUUUACACUCGUAUUGUAGUCAUUUGUCAGCUUAAUAUUUUGAGUAAUAUUUUAAAUAUUACAUUAAUUUCGACCCAAAUGCAUAAUUUUUUAAUAAGUAAUAUUUUAUAUUUUGAAAUUUGAGAGAUCAUUCCCUAACUUACGGGGUCUCAAUUUUUUCGAUAAAUCUGAAUAUACUAACUAUUUUCAAAAAAUAUGUUUUAAAAUUAUCUCGGGAAUUUAAAAAGGAGCGUGUUCUAACUUACUGAAUAUGAUCUUUUUUUUAAAAUCGAGAUAAUCAAAUAACUUUCAAAUAAAUAAAUUUUCAAUGUUUAUUCUCAUAUCAGGAUUUAAAAUAUUAUAUCCUAACUCACGGGAUACAAUUCUUUUUCUCGAUUAACAUGAAAUAUGCCCGUUUUAAUUUUAUUUUUUAAGUGAUUUUAACAAAAGGAUUGUAUUUUAAAUCUCUUCAAAAUUUUCAAUUUUUCGACAUUGAGACAUUAACUAAUCAAUUAGGUACCAAUUUUGGGCGUUACGAGGGUGCUAACCCUUCCUCAUACGUAACCGACUCCCGAACCUAUUUUUCUGAAUAUUGAAGGCCAAAAUUGUUUUAAUAAAUUAAACCCUUAAGACGUGACCCCAUCACACCUCAUAAAAAUUAUCGGUGGCGACUCUCGUUUGCGUUUUUGUUUUCGUUUUCAAAAUAAAAGUCGACCCCUUGUUUUAAAAAAGGUGGUUCGAUAGCUUGGCGACUCCGUUGGGGAAAAAAAUAAGAGAGUCAAGCCACGAGUUGAUUAUUUCUUAUUUUUUGUCAGAAAUUGUGAAUUCGAUUUAAAUUUACGAUCUUUUCAUUGCAUUUUAUGGUCUGCAUCAUUUUGAUAUGCUUGCUUUACUGGUUCGAGUCUUUUAAUCUCCGCAUAUUGCAUUGCAUAACCGUUCGGUUAUACCCUUUUAAGUGGGAGUGAGAAACUAUUCAUUUGUGAGAUUUUUACCUCCGUAUAGGAUAGUGGAUUACUUUCGGGAUACAUCCGUACCUAUGUCUUCGUGAGAUUUUCAUCUCCGUAUAGUUAUAGGGAAAUGUAUUCCCCUGAACUGAACUCAGUCCGUAUGAGCCUAUAAUAGGUAAGGAUUGAGGAAUCUGCUGGUUCAGGUACCCUUUCUUUAGAACUAAACUGCAUGUAGUGAGCCCUAAGAGCAUACCGUAGGUAGAACCACUCCAAACCCCUAGUGGUCACCCAAAUAGGUGCUCUAUUUAUUUUUGCUUGCUUAUUUUUGCAUUGUACUAACCUAUUUUUUUGUUAUGAUUGCAUUGCAUUUUCAUCAUAAAAAAGAUGUGUUGAUUCACGUUCAAUUGCUAAAUAGAGAGCUUGUCAUGGAAAACGGAUUUCUUGAUAAAGUGGAAGACAAUGUGGUUAUCCGGAUAUGGUCCAAGAAAAUUUGACGAAAGAAGGGUGAUAGUCUAAUGGAGGACUACACGACCUUGCUUUAUUGCCCGAGGAUUCAAGUUGACAAAGAUUAUUUGAGAGUCCUCAAUGUCCCGACCUUUUUCAAGAAGCUAACGAGUGUCACGAGGAUGAGUGAGUAAUGAGUUGCGGCCCGGAUCAAGCAAAAAAGAGAUAGAGGAGACACCCUUUUUGAAGAGUUCGCGAGAUUUAUAUUAAUAUCAAAAUGAAGAAAAAGAUCAAUGUCUUCGCCUGGAGUAUGAAAGCAAAGCUGUAUAUAUAUCCGCUUUAUGUAAAUAAAUUUGUUUUCUAGUAAAGUUUUUCUAAUAGAAUUGAAUCAGAAUCAAUGUCUUUUUUUGCAUUCAUUCCAUUCAUCUGCAUUGCAUUUCAUUGCAUCCAAAAUUUCACAAAAGGACCCUAAUUAAUUGAAAUUGUUAUAGUUACUCUGAAAACUAAUAAAAAUCUACCAAUUAAAUAUUCCUACGGUACCCGUCGCAAAACCAAAGUAAUGGAUCAAAUAUUAGAAAGAUUAGAACAAAUUCUGAAAGACAAGCAUAAUCGUUUUUGCUUAGGGUACAAGCCAGAUACAAGACAAAGAAGGAAGGAGUUAGAGAAGAAAUAGGAAAGAAUGACAGCAUAUUUGAGCGAGGAUGAGGUCAAAUGGGAGCCUAUGAACUUUCCCUACAUAUCCAAAACUUUUGUAUCGGGAGGGAUUAUUCAUCCCGAGCGAAGAAUGCCAAGAGAAGAAAAUAUUGAAGAAAUGUUGGGAAACGUUCACAUCAAUGCCAUAUACGAAGAAGUAGUUGAAGGAUGGACCUUGUUAGAUAUCCGACCUUAUGAACCUGGGAGUGUGCUAAACAAUUGGACUACAGAAGAAAUUCCUGUAGUGUUUAGACCUUACUCAGAGUAAUAUUCAAAACACACUUGUUGCUUUUAGCCUAGAAGUGAUAAGAAUCCCUCUGUGAAAUAGGCUCAUGUAUAAACAUCAUUAUUUUAAUAAAGUAAAUCUUUGCAUUCAUUUUGAGCAAAUAUUCUUUUAUUCUUUCCAUACGAGUAAUUAUUUUAGAUUUUUCAUUAUUUUAGGAUUUUCUUCCAAAAAUCAUUCUUUUAUUACAUUCAUAAUCAUACUGUACAAAUAAUUAUUCUUAAAUUCAUUCAUUCUUUGUAUAUUCUUUUGUACCUAUAAUAGGUCCCUAGAUAUCAACGACAUGAGUGACGCUGCUACAGACUUAGAAUUUCCUUUUAAACAAGACAUGUGUUUAGAGGGAUCCCAUGACUUUGAAGAUGACGUAGACUGUGGCUUAUCUCCGGACUUGUUAAGGAUGGUAAAACAAGAGGAGAAGCAAAUCCUACUUCACAAUGAAUCAAUGGAAAUUGUGAGCUUAGAAGGGGAAAAUAGGUGAAGAUUGGGACUGACAUUGCCACAAAUACGAAGUAAGACCUCAUUGAGUUACUCUAAGAAUUCAAAGAUAUUUUUGCAUGGUCAUACUAGGAUACGCUCGGGUUAAGUACUGACAUUGUAGUACACUGCCUUCCUAUAAAAGAAGAUUGCUAGCCAGUUCAGCAGAAACUCCAGAGGAUGAGGCCUGAUAUUGUGCUAAAAAUAAAAGAAGUCAAAAAGUAAUUUGAUGUUGGGUUCUUACAAGUGGUCAAAUAUUCAGAAUGGGUAGCCAACAUCGUCUCAGUUCCUAAAAAAAAUGGGAAAGUACGAAUGUGCAUGGAUUACAGAGACUUGAACAAGGCCAGUCGAAAAGACAAUUCCCUAUUGCCUCACGUUGACACUUUGGUGGAUAAUACAGUAGGCUACUCACUUUUUUCCUUCAUGGAUGGCUUCUCUGGAUACAAUCAGAUAAAGAUGCAUCCAAAAACAUGGGAAAGAUUACAUUCGUGACCCUGUAGGAAACGUUUUACUAUAAAGUGAUGACAUUCAGAUUAAAGAAUAUGGGAGCGACGUAUCAAAGGGUGAUGGUAACCUUGUUUCAUGACAUGAUUUACAAGGAAAUCGAGGUUUAUAUUGACGAUAUGAUUGCAAAAUCUAGAACAGAAGAGGAACAUGUGCAGGUCCUGAGAAAAUUAUUCUUAAGACUGAGAAAGUUCUAGCUCAAGCUUUCCAACGAAAUGCACUUUCGGAGCUAGGUCAGGAAAGCUAUUAGGCUUCAUAGUCAGUGAAAAAGGAAUCGAGAUCAACCCAGACAAAGUCAAGGUAAUAAGAGAUUUACCUCCACUAUGCACUCAGAAGAAAGUUCGAGGUUUCCUAGGAAGACUAAAUUACAUUGCUCGGUUUAUUUCACAACUAACCGAAAAAUGUGACCCCAUAUUUCAUCUUUUAAAGAAACAUAAUCCAGAUGUAUAGGAUGAAGAAUGUCAGGAAGUUUUUGAUAGGAUAAAGCAGUACCUAUCAAAUACUCUAGUGCUGUUACCACCUAGCCCAGAUAGGCCACUGAUAUUGUAUUUAACAGUGUUUGAUAAUUUUAUGGGAUGCAUGCUAGGCCAACAUGAUGAGACAGGAAGGAAAGAAAGGGUUAUAUACUAUCUCAGUAAGAAAUUCACUGAUUAUGAAAUAAGAUACUCGUCUAUUGAGAAAUUAUGUUGUGCCUUGAUCUGGAUAACUCGGAGGCUAAGGCGGUACAUGUUGUACCAUACGACUUGACUAAUUUCAAAGUUAGACCCUUUAAAGUAUAUGAUGGAGUCAACUACUUUGAAUGGGAGGAUGGCCAGAUGGCAGAUUUUACUUUUUGAAUUUGACAUACUUUAUGUGAGCCAGAAGGCUAUAAAAUGGAGUGCAAUAGCGGAUUUUCUAGCUAGCAGAGCCUUGGAGGAUUAUGAGCCUUUAAAUUUUGAUUUUUUGAACGAGGACUUAAUGUAUGUGGCAACCACUAAAGAAAAUGCUCAAGUGGAUCGCAUUUGGAAGCUAAAAUUUGACGGAGCCUCAAAUGCUAUGGGUAAUAAAAUUGAGGCAGUCUUAGUAUCCCCGAGCAGAGAUCAUUAUCCUAUUGCUGGCAAAUUGGAUUUUGAUUGUACAAACAAUAUAGCAGAAAAUGAAGCGUGUAUUAUGGGCAUCCGUAUAGCCAAAGAAUGUAAAAUCAAAGUGCUAAAGGUAUAUGGGGAUUCUGCAUUGGUGAUAUAUCAGCUCAAAGGAGGAUGAGAGAUAAGAGACCUCAAAUUGAUUAAUUAUCGAAAGUUUAUUCUCGAAUUGAUUGAUGAGUUUGAUGAUAUUACUUUCUCCUAUCUCCCACUAGAUGAAAACCAGAUGGCUGACACGUUGGCUACUCUAGCUUUCAUGAUCAAAGUAAACAAACUAGAAGACAUGAAGCCUAUCCAGAUGAGCAUUUAUGAGACUUUGGCUCAUUGCUACAGUAUCGAGGAAGAGGAAAAGGAUGAUCAUCCUUGGUACCAAGAUAUACUGCAAUAUGUAAAGAAUCACGAGUACCCUGAUCAGGCAACGAAGAAUGAUAAGAGGACAUUGAGAAGACUAGCCACUAACUAUGUCUUACAUGGAGAGAUUUUAUACAAAAAGGGAAAGGAUCGGGUACUACUAAGAUGCUGGAUGCUAUAAAAGCUUAGAAAAUCUUGGAGGAAGUCCAUGAAGGUAUCUGCAAAAUGCAUGCCAACGGUUUCACAAUAGUAAGACAGAUUAUGAGAUUCGGGUACUACUGGUCGACCAUGGAAGGAGAUUGCAUCAAUUAUGCCAAGAAGUGCCAUAAAUGUCAAAUUUAUAGAGACAAAAUACACGCACGUUCUUCACCUCUCAACGUUAUGACUUCUCUAUGGCCUUUCUCUAUGUGGGAUAUGGAUGUCAUCGGGCCAAUAUUGCCAAAGGCUUCUAAUAGGUAUCGUUUCAUCUUCAUGGUCAUUGGUUACUUCACUAAAUAGAUGGAAGCUGAUUCAUAUGCUAAUGUCACGAAGUCAGGAGUCAGCAAGUUCUUGAAAAGGGAGAUCAUAUGUUGAUAUAUAAUGCCUGAAAGAAUCAUAUCUGACAAUACAUUGAAUUCGAAAAAUAGCAAAAUAGCGGAGGUCUGCAAUCAAUUCAAGAUCAAACACCAUAAUUCGUCACCAUAUCGCCCAAAAAUGAACGGAGCAGUGGAGGCGGCCAACUAAAAUACCAAGAAAAUUGUGGGGAAAAUGUCUGAGACUUACAAAGAUUGGCAUGAAAAAUUACCAUUUGCCCUCUUUGUUUAUCGAACAUCAAUCAGGACUUUCGUCGGGGCAACGCCUUUCUCUCUAGUUUAUAAGAUGGAGGCAGUUUUACCCAUUAAAGUUGAAAUCCCUUCUCUCUGGGUAUUGGCUGAGCUAAAGUUGGAUGAAGCUGAAUAGAUCCAACCUCGAUAUGAUCAGUUGAACCUAAUAGAAAGAAAAAGGCUAAAAGUUAUUCACCACGGUCAGAUGUACCAAAAACGAAUGAUGCGAGCCUACAACAAAAAAGUUCAUCCCAAAGAAUUCUAUGAGGGGGACCUAGUGUUGAAAAAGAUUUUUCCUCUACAAAAGAAUUUUAGAGGAAAAUGGAUGCCAAAUUAGGAAAGACCUUAUGUUGUAAUAAAGGCCUUUUCUGGAGGAGCAUUGAUUUUGAGUGAGAUGGAUGGUAAAAAUUUUCCUAAUCUUGUAAACUCAGAUUCAUUCAAGAAAUACUUCACCUAAAGAAGGAGAAGGGACCAAUGUGAAAACCUGCAAAGGGCACUUUGAGUCUUAAAAAAAAGAGACCAAGGUGAAAACCGCAAAUGGUGUCUUAAGUCCUAAAAAAAAGAGGCCAAGGUGAAAACUAGCAAAGGGCGCCUUGAGACCAAAGGGGAUUUGAGUUGAAAACCCGAAAAGAGCGACUCAAAUAUUGAUUAAAAUGGGGCAUGCAGUGAUCUUGCUAUACUUGAAUUAAUAGGAAAGGGGUAUACGACAUCUUGGGGCAUCGACAAAGUACUAUAGAUCUCCUAAACACAUUUCAAACUCAAAAUGGUCUUUAGGAAGUUUGUACAGAGAAAUUCAAGCUGCGAUGUCUAGGGCACCUAGUCUUCAUACUAUUUAUAUUAAAUUUGCUAUUCUUGGAAUACUUUAUUCUUUUCAAGAUACGUGUUCCCAAUCAAUUCCCUUUUUAUUCUUCUUUAUCCUUGAUAAUUUAUUCAUUUCGAGCUAUGCUCCAAAUCAAUUCUAUUCUUAUCCAUUGUUAUUAUCUUUUGCAAGCAUGUUGUAUUGGAAUAAUGAUUAAUAGACUAAUAAUACUUUUACAAAUAAAGUGCUGUAUAUUACUCUAAAAGUUUCUAAAUAAUACAAGAACCUAAAACAGGACUAUUGUUUAGAACGCACCGGGUUUAAAGGUUAGAAAUAUCUGAGAAGGAAGAGUCCAAAUUAAGACUAUCCCUUCGAAUUUUGUUGUCAAAAUAUUGAUUGAACAAAACGACAAGAUAUCGUAUUGGUGAACAAACGAGCAAUGAUCACCAGGUAAUAAAAAGAGGUUAUUUUGGAAAAAAAAUUACAUUGGUACGACACCUUAGGAAUGGUGUAAGAGACCAAAGAGGUUCACAUCUUGUAUUCUUGAAUUGCAAUAGGAGAGGAUUGAGAAAGAGCUAGAUAUUAUACUCCUGAAUUAUAAUGGAAGGGAAAUGGUACAAAUUUUAUGUACCAAAAGUACAGUGGAUUGAACCUUGAAGAUUACAGUAGGGGAAAUCUGAUUAAGUAAAAUAUGAAGUGUUUCUUUGGAGAUACCAGUCGAACAAGAUGGCAUUAUGACGUGUCGGUGAUAGAGCCUUAAUGAAUAAUGAGCAAUAACAACUCAAGCAUUAAGGGAUCAUUUUCAUAACAUUCUGUAUUCAUUCAUACACAUCUAGUUAGGAGAUUUUGAUUCAUUCCGAUCAUAACAUCCAAAUCACUAGACAUAAAUAGGCCCAUGAAAUGGAUUCUACAGGUCAUGUUCCCCAUAGAACAGAUGGGUGAAACCACAAAUCCUAUACCGCUGAAGUUGCAGUGGGAUGGAUUGAAGUCAUUAUGGCGAGUCUUAUCUCCCUGAAGUUGCAAUGGAGCAUAUUAAAGCUAGUAAUCUUAUCUCCCUGAAGUUGCAGUAGAGCGGAUUGAAGUUACAAGUCUUAUCCCCCUAAAGUUACAGUGGAGCAGACUGAAGAUAGUGAAUCUUAUUUCCCUGAAGCUGCAGUGGAACAAAUUGAAGCUAUAAAUUGUAGAUUUUAUCUCUCUAAAGUUGCAAUAGAGAAGAUCAUAUCAAACUUUAUCUCCCUGAAGUUGUAGUGGAACAGGUUGAAAAUACCAAUCUUAUCUCCCUGAAGUUACAGUGGAGUAGACUGAAGAUAGCGAAUCUUAUUUCUCUGAAGUUGCAGUGGAACGGAUUGAAGCUAUAAAUUACAGAUCUUAUCUCUCAGAAGUUGCAGUAAAGCAGAUCAUAGAAAACCUUAUCUCCCUGAACUUGCAGUGGAGUAGGUUGAAGUUAUAAGUCUUAUCUCCCUAAAGUUGCAGUGGAGCAGACUGAAGAUAGCGAAUCUUAUUNNNNNNNNNNNNNNNNNNNNNNNNNNNNNNNNNNNNNNNNNNNNNNNNNNNNNNNNNNNNNNNNNNNNNNNNNNNNNNNNNNNNNNNNNNNNNNNNNNNNNNNNNNNNNNNNNNNNNNNNNNNNNNNNNNNNNNNNNNNNNNNNNNNNNNNNNNNNNNNNNNNNNNNNNNNNNNNNNNNNNNNNNNNNNNNNNNNNNNNNNNNNNNNNNNNNNNNNNNNNNNNNNNNNNNNNNNNNNNNNNNNNNNNNNNNNNNNNNNNNNNNNNNNNNNNNNNNNNNNNNNNNNNNNNNNNNNNNNNNNNNNNNNNNNNNNNNNNNNNNNNNNNNNNNNNNNNNNNNNNNNNNNNNNNNNNNNNNNNNNNNNNNNNNNNNNNNNNNNNNNNNNNNNNNNNNNNNNNNNNNNNNNNNNNNNNNNNNNNNNNNNNNNNNNNNNNNNNNNNNNNNNNNNNNNNNNNNNNNNNNNNNNNNNNNNNNNNNNNNNNNNNNNNNNNNNNNNNNNNNUCAAAGGAACAAAAUAUCACCUACAUCAUAAGGCACGAUCGCCAGAACUUUACUUUCUAGCCUGUCGAUCCGAUCCAAUCCAAUGAAAGAACACAAGGAGUCUUAAGAUCUGUCAACUUUAUUUCAUUUUCAUUUCUUUGUCAUUUUCUAUGUUUCAUGUCGAAUACAAUAAAGAGAACAUAGAAAAAUGUGGCCUAUUUAUUUCCCAAUCAUCAUGAAAUUACUUGCCAUUGACUUAGAUUUUCUCACCAAUUUCAAGCAAUCUGACAUGAUUUCUCAUCACAAUUAAUUGAAUUCAAGAUCUUUUUAGAUGACACAAACAUUUCAUUUUAACACAAACCAAUAUUUCGGUUAUACUUCAGUGCUUGACAAGCACUUUCACAUUUGUGGAUAAGAACUCUUAACAUUUUAGGAUCACAUUUAAUUCAAUUGCAUUUAAGACCUCAUGGUUUUAUUCUAUAAUUUCAGUCUUAUCAGCCUUUUCGGAAACAAUAAAACGUCGACAUUAAAUUUGUUGUUGAUGCAUUCAAUUUUUUGGGUCUUUGGAGUUAUGUGACUUUAGCAUUGACUGACUUUUUUAUAAUUUAAUAAUAAGGUAAAUAUAUUAAUUUUAAUAACAUCGACAUGUUUUUUAGUAGGGUCGAGCAAAACCCAAUUAAAAUCGAUGAUAUUGGCUUAGUUGACUCGGUCAAGUCCAUUAGAUUGAUAAAAUCAUUUUUAAAAUCAGUUAUAAUGGAUAAAGGUAAUUAAUUAUCGAGUAAUGAAAUACAUAAUCAAAUCAAUUGAUUUUGUUAGAAACUAAAAGAAAAAGGGCUAAGCUGAAAAUUGAUUGCCCUUUAUUAAAAUUAACGAAUCUGUCUUUUACGUAUUAGAUAAUAUGAACAUCGCAUAUAUAAUAAGAAAAUUACGUAUGAUUAUUUAUUAUCAUAAAAGGUUAGUUUAAAUUUAAAGUAAUCUAAUAUGUUUAUUGAACUUCAACUAUUAAAUAAAGUAUAAGCUAAAUAAGUAUAAAUAUUCUAGAAACCAUUUCUAACUGAUGAUAGGCUAAUUCGAUUAAUUUAUAAAAACUAGAUAGUAGGGUUAUAGUCCUCAAACUACACCUAAUUUAAUAACAUUUAUAUUUUUUUUAGCCUUAAACAUUUAUAGUUUUGUUAAUUUGGUCCUUACUCUUUAAAAUUACAUAAAAAAUUGCAAAAAAAUUAAAAAUUAAUUUUUAUCAUGAUUUAAUAACAUUUAUAUUUUUUUUUGUGGUUUGGUAACUUAUCAACUUGACUCUUACUUGUAACCAACUUUUCUAACCUUUUUCGUACCCUUAACCUAAGUCCCGUUACAAUUUCUAAAGACCUCUUGAUUGGUGUAUCAUCUCGAUUUGUUUUUAUAGUGGUGGAGAUUUGUUUUUUGUAGUGGGCAUGAUUGCCAGAACUUUACUUUCUAUCCUGUCGAUCCGAUCCAAUGAAAGAAUAACAAAGAGGUCUUAAGAUCUGUCAACUUUAUUUCAUUUUCAUUUUCUUUGUCAUUUUCUAUGUUUCUUGUCACAUACAAUGAAAGAAGAACAUAGAAAAAUGUUGCCUAUUUAUUUCCCAAUCAUCAUUCUAACAGGCCGAAUUAGCCCAGGCCCAAACAUUAAUAAAUGUCCAGAUUACAAAAUAACCAACCAAAAAUUAAAAGCCCAAAUAAUAAAAUAAAACCCAUUACAUUAACCCAAAACUCCAGCCCAAUUACAUUGAAGCCAAAAAAAUAGUUUUUAGAAACCCCUAGGGUUUCUGGAACAAUCCGCGCCGCUCCUCCAUCCGCUUCUCCACGCACGCUGCACCUUUCCACGUGCGCCUCCAGCUGGCAGUGUACCUCCAAUGCAACAAACAAAGCAACAAGCAGCAAAAGAAAUGGAAAAACAACAAAAAAAAAAGAAGGAGCAACAAUGUAUAACAGAUUGAUAACAAAUAAUAGAAAAAAUAGCAGUAAAUAGGAAAAAAAAUUAAAAAAUAAUGAGGGUAAUUUCAUUUUUUUCUCUGUUUUGGCUAUAAAGAGAGCCGGUCAAAAUCUCUAAAGGGGGAUUUAGAAUCAAUCAGAAAACAAGUAUUUUGUACCAACAAUUAGAGAAAAAAAAUACAAAAAUAGGGAUUGAAGGUUUUUUUUUUCUUUCGUUUCGAUUUAUUUAAAAUAGCAUAGAAAAUAAAAAGAAGGCUUACCUUGCGACGCCUUCAGAUCCUCUCGAAAAGGGGCUAAAAGGCCCUAUGUGGCACAGAUUUGACCACUGUUCACGGUGGAACCGCAGCGGAGGCGCAGAGGAUUGGCAUCAAUUUAGGCAGGGUUUGAAACCCUAGCAGAGAAAAAAUUAGGGUUGAUAGAUUUUUUUUAAAAAAAUGGCAAAAUGUUGUUUUUAAAAAAUUUUGUUUUAAAAAAAUUGUUGCUUUUAUAAAGGGUGUAAAACGGCGUCGUUUAGGGCAUGUUUCGAUGGCCCCAAAACGGCGCCUUAUAAGGCAACCCCCGACGACCCGACCUGCUCCAUGGGGGAUCCGCGUGGUUUUUGUUAAAUGGGUUAUGUCUAACCCUGGCCCUUCUACUUUUUAUACUUGUUUUAAUUUGAUCCUCUUUUUAUUUAUUUUUAUUUCUUUAAAUUAAGCCUGAUAAUUUUUUUCCAUUACAUUUUAAUCCUUAAUGAAACGGCGCGUUUUAGAGGAGAAGGGAAAAUUACCCUUCUAGUCCCUUCUUGUUAUUCGAGUGUUCAGAAGGGUCCUUUUUUGUUUAUUUUUUAUUUGCCCCAAAAUUUUGUUUUAAAGCUUAAUUUAGUCCUAUUUUGUUAUUUUAGCUAUUUUAUUAUUAGAUUAAUUAAUUUAAUAUUAUUAUUACUGCUAUUAUUUUACCCCUAUUAGUUAUAUAUUUAUUAUUAUAACUAUAUCAUUAAAUCAAUUAGUUUUUACAUUAUUAUUUCCAUUCUGUUUUUUAUUUACUUACUUAAAUACUUUAAAUGCAUUUAUUUUAUUUCUUAUUUUUUUAUGAAAUUUCAAAACUUUAGACUAUUUUUUUGUUACUAUAACCCUAAUUUCAUUCAUUUUAUAAUAGUUUUUUUUUAAAAUAUUUCUUAGAUUAAUUCCCUCGAUGUUAUUUUGUAUAUUUAUUUAUCUUUUUAAAUUUUCGAUAUUGUCUUAUUGUAUUAUUGUUGUUACUAUCAUUAUUCAUUAUUAUUGUUGAUUUUAUUCUUCUUUGAUUAAUGUUUAUGUUAGAGUAAUAGGUGUUAUGUGAUCAUUGUUAUUAUAUGUUAUAAUUUGUUGACACUCGUAUUGUAGUCAUUCGUCAGCUUAAUAUUUGAGUAACAUUUUAAAUAUUACAUUAAUUUUGACCCAAAUGCAUAAUUUUUUAAUAAGUAAUAUUUCGUAUUGUGGAAUUUGAGAGAUCAUUCCCUAACUUACGGGGUCUCGAUUUUUUUGAUAAAUCUGAAUAUAAGAACUAUUUUAAAAAAAUACGUUUUAAAAUUAUCUCGGGAAUUUAAAAAGAAGCGUGUUCUAACUUACGGAAUAUGAUCUUUUUUAAAAAUCGAGAUAAUCAAAUAUCUUUCAAAUAAAUAAACUUUUCGUGUUUAUUCUCGUUUUAGGAUUUAAGAUAUUGUGUCCUAACUCACGGGACACAAUUCUUUUUCUCGAUUAACGUGAAAUACGCCCUUUUUAAUUUUAUCUUUUUAAGUGAUUUUAACAAAAGGAUUGUAUUUUAAAUCUCUUCAAAAUUUUCAAUUUUUCGACAUUGAGACAUUAACUAAUCAAUUAGGUACCAAUUUUGGGCGUUACAAGGGUGUUAACCCUUCCUUGUACAUAACCGACUCCCGAACCUAUUUUUCUGAAUAUUAUAGGCCAAAAUUGUUUUAAUAAAUUAAACCCUUAAGAGGUGACUCGAUCACAGCUCAUAAAAAUUAUCGGUGGCGACCCUUGUUUUAAAAAAGGUGGUUUCAACAGCUUGGCGACUCCGCUGGGGACAAAAAUAAGAGUCAAGCCGCGAGUUGAUUAUUUCUUAUCUUUUUGUCAGAAAUUGUGAAUUCGAUUUAAAUUUAUGAUCUUUUCAUUGCAUUUUAUGGUCUGCAUCAUUUUUAUAUGCUUGCUUUACUACUUCGAGUCUUUUAAUCUUCGCAUAUUGUAUUGCAUAACCGUUCGGUUAUACCCUUUUAAGCGGGAGUGAGAAAUUAUUCUUUCGUGAGGUUUUCACCUUCGUAUAGGAUAGUGGAUUACUUUCAGGAUACAUCCAUACCUAUGUCUUCGUGAGAUUCUCAUCUCCGUAUAGUCAUAGGGAAAUGUAUUCCCCUGAACUGAACUCAGUCCGUAUGAGCCUAUAAUGGGUGAGGAUUGAGGAAUCUGCUGGUUCAGGUACCCUUUCUUUAGAACUAAACCGCAUGUAGUGAGCCCUAAGAGCAUACCCUAGGUAGAACCACUCCAAACCCCUAGUGGUCACCCAAAUAGGUGCUCUAUUUAUUUUUGCUUGCUUGUUUUUGCCUUGUACUAACCUAUUUGUUAUGGUUAUGAGUGCAUUGCAUUUUUAUCAUAAAAAAGAUGUGUUGAUUCACGUUCAGUUGCUAAAUAGAGAGCUUGUCAUGGAAAACGAAUUUCUUGAUAAAGUGGAAGACAAUGCGGUUGUCCGGAUAUGGUCCAAGAAAAUGUGAAGAAAGAAGGGUGAUAGUCUAAUGGAGGACUACACGACCUUGCUUCGUUGCCUGAUGAUUCAAGUUGACAAAGAUUAUUCGAGAGUCUUCAAUGUCCCGACCUUUUUAAAGAAGCUAACGAGCGUCACGAGGAUGAGCGAGUAAUGAGUUGCGGCCCGGAUCAAGCAAAAAAAAGAUAGAGGAGACACCCUUUUUGAAGAGUUCACGAGAUUUAUCUUAACAUCUAGACGAAGAAAAAGAUCAAUCUCUUUGCCUAGAGUAUGAGGGCAAAGCCGUAUAUAUAUCCGCUUUAUGUAAAUAAAUUUGUUUUCUAGUAAAGUUUUUCUAAUAGAAUUGAAUCAGAAUCAACGUCUCUUUUUGCAUUCAUUCCAUUCAUCUGCAUUGCAUUUCAUUGCAUCUAGAAUUUCACAAAAGGACCCUAAUUAAUCGAAAUUGUUAUAGCUACCUUGAAAAACUAACGAAAAUUUACCAAUUAAAUAUUCCUAUGGUACCCAUUGCAAAACUAAAGUAAUGGAUCAAAUAUUAGAAAGAUUAGAACAAAUGCUGAAGGAUAAACAUAACUGCUUUGGCUUAGGGUACAAGCCAGAUACAAGACAAAGAAGAAAUAGGAAAGGAGAACACGUUUGAGCGGGGAUGAGGUCAAAUGGGAGGGAUUAUUCAUCCCAGGCGAAGAAUGCCAAGAGAAGAAAAUAUUGAAAACAUGUUGGGAAACGUUCACAUCAAUGCCAUAUACGAAGAAGCAAUUGAAGGAGUGACCUUGUUAGAUAUCCGCCCUUAUGAACCUAAGAGUGUGCUAAACAAUUGGACUGCAGAAGAAAUUCUUGUAGUGUUUAGAGCUUACUCAUAGUAAUGUUCAGAACACACUUGUUGCUUUUAGCCUAGAAGUGAUAAGAAUCCCUCUGUGAAAUAGGCUCAUGUAUAAAAAUCAUUAUUUUAAUGAAGUACAUCUUUGCAUUCAUUUUGAGCAAAUAUUCUUUUAUUCUUUUCAUACGAGUAAUUAUUUUGGAUUCUUUAAUUCUUUUGGGAUUUUCUUCCAAAAUCAUUCUUUUAUUACAUCCAUAAUCAUACUGUACAAAUAAUGUAAUAGCCUGAAUUUUCAGUGGUGUCGGAAUGGUGAUUCAAGAUCACUAAGUCUGACAAAUGAGUAGAAAAUAUUAUUAAUUUAGUAAGAAUAAGUAAAUGUGAAGUUAGGAAAAUUUUUGAAAUAGUGAAUAGUGUACUAGGAAUAAAUAUUAAAAUAAUUAAAAUAAAAAAUGAGGUAUCGAGACCUCGAAGAUUUUAAACCAAGCCAUAAGUACUUUUAGAAGUAUUUUUAGAGUGUCAUUGAGUUGGUAUUAAAGUUUCGUUAGAAAAUUUUAACGCUCGGAUAGUUAAUUAACCAAAAAGGACUAAAUUGAAAAUAGUGUAAAAUUUGUUAAAUUGUGAUUAAAUAGCUUAAGUGAUUAAAAAGGAGGGAUUUAAAAGGCAAUUAGGCCCAAAUUAUAUGGGCUGGACGGUUGGGUAAGAAAAAUCAGCAGAAUGUAAGGAGAAAACAGGGGCAAAAUUGGAAACUUAACAAAUUAAACAUAUAAAACAAAGACAAAAGUGAAAAAUCUAGAGAUCUGUUCACAAUUUAUCAGCAAAAAUGCCAUAGGAGGUCUGAAAGAAGCUGGUUUUUCAUAUAUUUGAAUCAUGUAAGUUUAAUUCUUGAUUAUUUCUUCUAAUUUUUGUGAUUUUGAUACUUUUACAAUUAGGUCCAACUAAUUAUUUCAUUAGUUUUUGAUUUCAUGGCUGAUUUUGAAAGUUACCAUUGAUGAGUGUUGGAUUUUUAUGAUGAAUAAACAUGGAAUUAAAGCUUUAAUUUUGUUAUAUGAUGAUUUUAUUAAGUAAUUUUGAUAGAAAUUGAUUUUUGGGACCUAAUUGUGAAAAAGUUUGGAAUUAGGGUUUGGUGUUGCGGUUUUGAAUAUGAAAGGCUAUGUAGUAGUCUAAAAUAGUUGGAAAAGGUGUUAAUUGAGAAAAAUUAGAUCAAUUGAGGGGUUAAUUGAGUAGGACCAAAUUGUAAAAACUGUAAAGUUUGAGGUAAAAGUGUAAUUUCGAAAAUUUAAGGGCAUAAAUUGUGAAGUGAAUUAGAAUAGAAUUAUAUGCUGAUGAAUGAAUAAAUUUGUAUUUUAGAUCGAGAACCCGAAGCAAGCCGAGGAAAAGAAAAAGUAGUUGAUUAGUCCCUGAACUUUUACAAAUUCUGCAAAUCGACCCAGGUAAGUUCAUAUGGCUGAAAUUUAAUGAUUAAAUGUUAAUUUCAUGAAUUAUGUAAUGUAUGAUGAAAUGUAUUUAGUGUUGAAAUGAGAGUAAAAUAAAAAUGCGAAAAUCGAAUAAAUGAUCAAAUUAAGCGGAACGCCGGAUUUGAGUACUUCUGAUCAAGAGACAAAGUGAUAAGUGGUAGCUUUAGCUACACUUAUCUGAUCAAGUGAAAAAGUGAUAAGUGCUACACUUAUCUGAUCAAGAGACAAAGUGAUAAGUGGUAGCUUUAGCUCACUUAUCUGAUCAAGUGAAAAAGUGAUAAGUGCUAUACUUAUCUGAUCAAGUGACAAAGUGAUAAGUGGUAGCUUAGCUACACUUAUCUGAUCAGGGCCAAAUGAUAAGUGAUCAUACGUAAGACCAUAGUUAUACUAUGGCCAAGUGAAAGUGAAGUACUCAAUUUUCCGUAACCGUUCCUUAAUUUUGAUCAAGGAUGGUAAGUGACAAAUAGGCCCAAAGAAAUUAUGGUAAAAGAAUAAGUAGUAGUGAGUUUAUACCAAGGAACUCUCCAAAGAUUGUGGUUGACAAGUAAACUUAGUAAUGGUGUAUAUUGUAUAAGUGUACAAAUGUUUGGUAAGAUUUAUGUUUGUGCCUAUGAACUUACUAAGCUUUUCUAUAAGCUUACAUGUGUGUGUUUAUUGUUUUUCUAGAUUAACGUAUUUAUACAUUCGGAGGAUCGGAUCUACUUCGAGAAUCACACUAUCCAGAUAUACUCCGGUAGAUUUUGUUAAACAACUUUUUGGAUUUAUAUGGCAUGUACAGAGAAUUGAAGUAAAAAGUAAUAGAAUGAAUGACUGAGUAUGCAAAGUAAAUUUGAAUGUGAUGGUUGUGUUAGAUAUUGAAAAAUACAUGUUUUUAGUUUGAAAUGGUUGAUUGGCUGAACUUCGUUAGUAUUCAAGUGAAGUAGUUGAAAUACUGGAAUUGGUUGUGAUUUGAAAUUUGCAGGGAAGGUUAGAUAAAUAUAAAGGGGUUAUAUUGAUUUUUUUUUUAAAUUUCAAUGGAAUAAUUUUUGGACAGCAGCAUUGAUGUAACUUUUAAAAAUCACCAAAAAUAGUGGAAAUAGAAUUAGAAGUUGAAUGAGAUAUGAAAUUAAAUCUGAAUGAGUCUAAUUUCACAUGAAAGAAGUAGAAUAAGAAAAAGAGUUAUAUAUUUUUAGAUAUUUGAAUUUUAGUGAAACAGGGCAAGAAUGUUUUUGAAGUCCCCUGUUCUGACUUUAGAAAUUUAGUAAAAAUUGUACAAAAGGAAUUAUGAAUUAUAAUUUAUAUGUUUAAAUUCCGUAAUGAGUAUAUUUUAAGUAGAAAUAAUUGGAACCACCAUAUGAAGUCUUUGCAAUGAGAUAAUUGAAUUUUAGUGACAAGAGGUCAGGAUAGUCAAUUAGUGAAAUAGGGGAGACUUCAACUAAUAAACUGUAUUAAUUUGCUAAACCAAAAAUUCUGAAAAAUUUAUGGUGAAUAUACAUAUGAGUCUAGUUUGAGGGAAAAUUUACGGAUCUAAAUUUUUAGUUUCGUAUCUUGAGUUAUAAUUAUUUUAGUGACUACUGCGCAUGUGGACAGCUUUGUUGUGAAUGGUGAAAUUAAUUUUUAAAGUAAAUUUUUAUGCCCCGAACUUUUAAGUUCAGUCAAGUAACGCCUUAUGCUCGACUCCGGCAACCGUCUUGGGUAAGGGGUGUUAUAAAUAAUUAUUCUUAAAUUCAUACAUUCUUUGUAUAUUAUUUUGUACCUACAAUAGGUCCCUAGAUAUUAACAACAUGAGUGACGUUGCUACAGACUCAGAAUUUCCUUUUAAACAAGACAUGUGUUUAGAGGGAUCCCAUGGCUUUGAAGAUGACGUAGACUGUGGCUUAUCUCUGAAUUUGUUAAGGAUGGUAAAACAAGAGGAGAAGCAAAUCCUACCUCACAAGGAAUCAAUGGAAAUUGUGAGCUUAGAAGGGGGAAAAGAGGUGAAGAUUGAGACUAACAUUGCCACAAAGACAAAGCAUGACCUCGUUGAGUUACUCCAAGAAUUUAAAGAUGUCUUCGCAUGGUCAUACCAGGAUACUCCCGGGUUAAGUACUGGCAUUGUAGUACACUACCUUCUUAUAAAAGAAGAUUGCAAGCCAGUUUAGCAGAAACUCUGAAGGAUGAGGCCUGAUAUUGUGCUAAAAAUAAAAGAAGAAGUUAAAAAGCAAUUUGAUGUUGGGUUCUUACAAGUGGUUAAAUAUUCAGAAUGAGUAGCCAACAUCGUCUCAGUCUCUAAAAAAGAUGGGAAAGUACGAAUGUGCAUAGAUUACAGAGACAUGAACAAGGCCAGCCAAAAAGAAAAUUUCCCAUUGCCUCACAUUGACACUUUGGUGGAUAAUACAGUAGGCUACUCACUGUUUUCCUUCAUGGACGACUUCUCUGGAUACAACCAGAUAAAGAUGCAUCCCAAAAACAUGGGAAAGACUACAUUCGUGACCCUAUGGGGAAUGUUUUGCUAUAAAAUGAUGUCAUUCGGAUUAAAGAAUGUGGGAGCGACGUAUCAAAGGGAAUGGUAACCUUGUUUCAUGACAUGAUGUACAAGUAAAUCGAGGUUUAUGUUGACGAUAUGAUUGCAAAAUCCAGAACAGAAGAGGAACAUGUGUAGGCCCUAAGAAAAUUAUUCUUAAGACUGAGAAAGUUCCAGCUCAAGCUUUCCAACGAAAUGCACAUUCAGAGCUAGGUUAGGAAAGCUGUUAGGCUUCACAGUUAGUGAAAAAGGAAUCGAGAUCAACCCAGAUAAAGUCAAUGCGAUACGAGAUUUACCUCUACCAUGCACUCAGAAGGAAGCUCGAGGUUUCCUAGGAAGACUGAAUUACAUUGCUCGAUACAUUUCACAACUAACCGAAAAAUGUGACACCAUAUUAAAAUAAAAAUAGAUUAAAUUGUAAGUAAAACAUAAUUUAAACAUAUGAAUACAUCAAAUUAAUAAUACUAAAUGAAUACAGUUAUUUAUGAUGAUGUUGUUGCCAAUUCCUAAUUUGGUGUCUAGUUAAUUUGUGACAUCAUAAAUUUAAGUGAUAAAUUUAAGGUUUUAUGUAUUGAUGUGGAUUCAAAUAUCACCAUAAUUUUUGUAAAUAAAAAACUAAUAAGAUAACUUAUAUUAAGUACGAAAGGGUAUUUUUAUAAUUUCUCUAAUCGAGUUGGUGCCCGGUUGACUCAUGACACUAACUCAAUCAGAAGCUUUAAUAAUAAUAUAGAUAUUCAUGUUAAAAAAACAAAAAAAAAGUACUUUAGUUCCAAAUAAUUAUAUAACAAGUAAAUUUAUAAUUGAUGAAUAAAUUUAUAAAUAAUAUAUUUAUAUGAUCUAAUAUAUUAUAUUUAUAUUAAUUAUAUAUCAUCUACAAACUUUGAAGAUCAAUUUAUUAAGUAAAAAUGAAAUUGUUAACACUAAAUCAAUUUUUAGAUUUUGUAUAGAUGAUUUAGUGAUGAUAAAAACAUUAUUAACACUAUUUUUUAAUUAACAAAAAAUUAGUGAUAUAUUUAAAUUAUAUUUAUCAUUUAUUAUUUUUAAUAAUAUUUUUUAAUUAUAUGAAGUAAAAUUAUAUUGUAUACUAAAUAUGGUACAUAUACUCUAAUUAUAACUUGAAAUUUUAUUAUAUAAAUUAAUAUAAAUUUGAAUAACAAAAUAAAAAAAAACUAAUUAGAAUAAUUUUAAAAAACAUUAUUUAAAAGUAGUUAAAAAUCACGUGCAACAGGUGAGAUCAAUGGUCUUUAGAGAAGAAAUGUUGAAGAUCAAAGUUGGAAUCUGGCCUAUAAGGCCUUUAAUUGCUUUAAUAUUAAGCAGUUCCAAACCAAGAAGAUUACCGAUUUCCUCAGGAAUUUGACCUGCACACAUGGUCGAAAAAUCAAUGUGUCAAACUACCUAUUUUGUUAGCAUAAGUCAAAGAGGUUUUCUUUUCUAUUCUACAUAAUUUGCAGAUGUUAGAUUUUAAUAUUUUUAAGCAUAUUUGUUUUCAUCAAAUUAACUAUUUUGAACUAUUUUGCCUUGAAUGAAAUAAAAUGCUCUUACUUUUGUUAUCUAUUACUAAUCAAACUCUUUUAUAAAAAAAAUACUUUAAACUAAAGAAACCAAGAAAAUUCAAUACCUUCUAGGUUAUUCAACCCCAAAUAUAAUUCUUUGAGUCGUGUCGGAUUUCCAAUACUUCUUGGAAUGAUCCCCAUCAAUUGAUUAUAGGAAAAUGACAAAAUUUUAAGGUUGUUGCAUUUGCUUAUACUUGACGGAAUGUUACCAUAUAAUUCAUUCCGACUCAAGUAAAGCCCUUCAAGCUUGGAAAGAUGUGACACAUAUCAUUAGGCAAGCUACCUGAUAGGCUAUUGUUGGAGAGAUCAAUGGCCUUCAGAGAAGAAAUGUUGAAGAUCGAAGUUGGAAUCUGACCUGUAAGGCCUUUAAUUGCUUUAAUAUUAAGCAGUUCCAAACCAAGAAGAUUACCGAUUUCCUCAAGAAUUUGACCUGCACACAUGGUCGAAAAAUCAAUGUGUCAAACUACCUAUUUUGUUAGCAUAAGUCAAAGAGGUUUUCUUUUCUGUUCUAUAGUAAUUUGGUGAUGUUAGAUUUUAAUAUAAUUCAGCACAUGUUUUUCAUCAAAUGAAAUAAAAAGUUUUUCCUUUUGUUAUCUAUUACAAAUCAAGCUCUUUUAUUAAAAAAAUACUUUAAAUUCAAGAAAUCAAGGAAAUUAAUUACCUUCUAAAUUAUUAAACCCCAAAUAUAAUUCCUGGAGUCGUGUUAGAUUUCCAAUACUUCUUGGAAUGAUCCCCAUAAAUUGAUUAUGGGGCAACAACAAAUUUUUAAGGAUGUUUCAUUUGCCUAUGCUUGACGGAAUGUUACCAGAUAACUCAUUGCUAUGCAAGUGAAGCCCUUCAAGCUCGGGAAGAUGUUGACACAUAUCAUUAGGCAAACUACCUAAUAGGCUAUUCCUGGAGAGAGCAAUAGUCUUGAGAGAAAAAUGUUGAAGAUCGAAGUCGGAAUCUGAUCUGUAAGGCCUUUAAUUGCUUGAAUAUUAAGCAUUUCCAAACUAAAAAGAUUACCGAUUUCUUCAGGAAUUUGACCUGCAGACAUAGUCGAAACAUCAAGGUGUUAAAUUUCCUAUUUUGUUAGUGUAAAUCAAAGAGGCUUUUUAUUUUUUUUCGUUAUGAAAUAAUAUGGAUAUGUUCGAUUCUAAUCAUAUUUAAGUAUAUAUUAGUUCUUGAAAGAAUGAGUUCUUAUUUUUGGUAUUUAUAUUGCAAAUAUAUAUUUUUUUAAAUUUAAAAGAAGGGAGGGGGCAAAUGUGUUUAAACUAAAGACAUCAAGGAAAAGGCAUACCAAGUAUAAUUGUUUAAGUUGUGUCAAAUUCCCAAUGCUUUUUGGAAUGAUCCCACUAAAUUGAUUAAUAGACAAUUCCAAAAUUUGAAGGUUGCAGCAUUUGUCUAUACUUGAUGGAAUAGAACUUGAUAAUUCAUUUCUACUCAAGUAAAGCUCUUUCAGCUUGGGAAGAUGGACACACAAAUCAUCGGGCAAGCCACCAGAAAGACUAUUAUCACAAAAAUGAAUCCUUUUCAAAGAAGAAAUGUUAAAGAUGGAAGAUGGAACCUGGCCAGAUAAUUGAUUGAAUCCCAAGUUCAAGAUCUCUAGAUUGGACAAGUUGACAAGUGUUUGAGGGAUCGUGCCUGUGAAGUUAUUAUUUCUCAUUUCCAACCUUUGAACUCUGUGCAAGUUCCCAAGCCAUGGUGGAAUUUCCCCAUUAAGACGGUUGUAGCUUAAUCGAAUGAUCCUCAAACGAUGCAAUUGGCCUAAUUCUUUAGCCAGAUGGCCGUAGAAAUUGUUGUUGCUCAAGUCGAUAGAAAAUAGAAAUGAAAGAUUUCCAAGGUGUGGAGGGAUAGUACCCCUAAGAUUCAUGUUUGUAAGAUUAAUCAAAGCUACAACUCUUUCAUGGAUGAUGCCACAAGAAACACCAACCCACUUACAGACAGAGGUAGAGUUCGUCCAAUUGUUUGCCAACACAUUUUGAGGAUCGACAAUGCGAUCUUUAAACUCAAAGAGUGCAAACUGAUCGGAGUUGAGAUUCCGGACUGUCAUAGCCAAGGAAACAAUAGAACAUUGUAUGAAUAAAAGUGAAAGAAGAUGAAAGCAAGUGUUGUAGUUCAUGAUGGCAAGACGAAAUAAGCCAGGAAAAGGGAAGUUGAAUUGAUGAAGAAAUAGCCAGCCAACAUGCUUAAAUAGGCUUCAACCCUUGCACACUUCUCAUACAUAAAGUUCGCUGCCAUUACAACAAGAAAACUCAUAUCUCCAUUCGUACCUAUCCAUACUUUAUUUGACUAACUUUUCCCUAACAAGUGUUCAGUAAGGAGAUAAAUCAGUUUGGAGCUAUUCACCGGCUUCUCCAAUCUUGGUUUCAAACUCCUAACCCAUCAAUUCACUUUAAUUGAAACGAUAUACACGAGUCUUUCGGCUUAUAUUUUUAAUUUAAUUUUUGUUACUUUUCAUAAUAUUUUUUGAGAAAUCCAAAUAUUCCAGUCUGAAAUUUCUUCAUUGCCACGUCUAUCUCCUGGGUAAGUCCGUGGUUAGGCAGCCCACUUUGGGAGCAGGAUUGUAAUUGUAAUUCUAUCCGACUCAUUUUACUAUUUAGAAAUAUAAAAGUAAUAUUAUAUUAUUUUUUAUAUUUUUAUAAAUUUAAUUUUAAUUAUAAUUUUUAAACAAUAAAACGAGUCAUUUGUAUUUGCCUAGUCUAAAUUGAAUCAGGAGUCAAAAAAAUUUUAAUCAUAAUUUACUAUUAUUUUAAUUAAUUAAAAUUUAACCUACUACAACUAGUAGUUGCAGAAAAAAUGUCAUUCCUUUAGAAAAACGAAAAUCCUUUAGAAAAAUGAGAACUUAUGAAGCAUUCAAUAAGAGUCAUUGGAAUAAAUGGUAACGAAAUCAUAAUUCAAUAUAAAGCUAAAAAAUGUACCAAUCUAUAUAAAUAAUGUAAGAUUUGUGAUACCUAAAUUAUUAUAUUUUCCAUAAAUAUAUGAAGAUAUUUUAUUAGGAAAUAAUUUUAUAUAUAAAAUUUUUUAUUUUCUUUUGAUAGAAAUUUAAUUAUGUUAUCUGUAGAAAAAAAUAUUUAUAGAAAUAUUAUUAGUAGAAAAUCAUAAAUUUGUGUGUGGCAAAAAAAAUUCACCACCAAGAAAGGGGCAAAUUAAACAACUUGAAACAAGUCAUUGGUUGUUUAAAAUAUUAGAUAAUAAUUUCAGUGAAGAAUCAUUAAAAUUAUGACAAAAUAACCCUAGAUAUUGUAGUAUUAAAUUGGAAAAUCUCAAUAAUAUUAUUAGAGUAAAACCUAUGAUCUAUCUAAACAAGAUAUAGAAGAUUUUGAUAUACAAAUUAAGGUUAGAAAUCAUGCGGAAAUAAAAAAGAAAAAAAAGCUAGUAUGGUCAUUAAUUAUAAAAGAUUAAAUCAAAAUAUUAUUUUUUUAUAGUUACUUGAAUUAAUCAGGCUAAACAAACAAAAUAUUUUAGUAAAUUUGACUGCAAAUCAGGAUUCUAGCAAAUCAUGAUAACAGAAAAGUCCAAACCUUUAACGGCUUUUAGUGCACCCAAUGGACAUUACCAAUGGAAAGUGAUGUCAUUUCAAUUAUGUGAUGCACCACAAAUCUUCCAAAGACGAAUGGAUUUUAUAUUUAAUAAAUAUAAAAAAAUUCUAUGUAGUCUACAUAGAUGAUAUUUUUUAUAUUUUUAGAUACACUAGAAUUACAUAAGAAACAUUUAAAUAUUAUUUCUUAAGAAUUCAUAAAAUAUAGAAUCAUAUUAAACCCUAAAAAUAUAGAGUUAGAAAAAAGAGAGAGAAUUUUUAUAAUAGUGGAAAUAAAAAAUUGUCCUCAAAAGAUUGAAGAAAAAAAGAACUUCCAACAAUUUCUAAUAUAUUCCUCCCAAAUUUUCAGUUUCAAUUUUAUUACAGAAUUUCUUUGCCGACAAUAAGAAAUUAAGAGCGCUCUUUAAGUUGAAUAUAGUCCGUCAGAUAUGGCUAUCUAUAACAUGGAACCUUUGGUUUUCAAGCUGAAUAGGAGAAUUGAUUCACUUGAUAAGUAUGAAAAAUUGAAACUGCUAAAUUUAAGUGCACUAACUCUGGAUAUCAUCAUUAUUUUUCUGUACAUUAAAGUACCUGUUUGAUAUGCGAUUUCUGCCUCAAACUAUCAACAUCUUUAACAUCCUUUUGCUAUAGUUAGCAUGGGUACUUCCUUUUAGAUUAACAGUUAGGUUUGAACUGUGAAUUAGAUUUCUGUGGCUGCUGGGAUUGAAGAAGUUAGUAUGCGAAUGACAUUGGACAAAUUUGGCAAAGUCUUCUCCAUCAGUGAAGAAAACCCCUUGGCGUAUGAAAAAUGUUCACCAUCUUAGACAUUUGUUUUCUUAUUGUAAGAAUAUUUUUAACAUUGUAACUUUUAACAUUAUUGUAAGAAUAUUUUGAAUUAUACUUCAGUUAUCAAUUUAUAUCAUAUAUCUUUUGUUGAAUUUGAAGUAUAAUUUAUAUUUGCUGUUUUUGGUUAGAUUUCAUGCUAUAGGAAGGGUUGUAUAUGGAUAGAAAUUGAAUGUUACAAAUCUGCCAAAGUUAGUGGCGUUUUUUCAUAAGAGCUGCUAAAGAAUGCUAUUUUUGGCGGUGUUUGUAAUAAAAGAGCCGCUAAAGGUCAUGUUCUUUAGCGAUGUUUGUGGGUAAAGCGCCGCUAAAGAUCAUGUUCUGUAGCUGUGUUUGUGGAUAAAGCGCCGCUAAAGAACAUGACCUUUAGCAGCGUAUUUUCACAUAAACGCCGCAAAAUUUAGCGGCUUUGUCUAUAGCGACUUUUUUUGCAGCGCUUUAAGUUUUAGCGGCGCUUUUAGGCCUAAAAAAGGGCCGCUAAAAGCCUGUUUUGCUGUAGUGAGCAUAUUUACAUUUUCGUCCCAAUUUCAACUAACACCCCAUCUAUUUCCCACUUCCCUUUUUCGGGCAAUUUCAACUAACACCUUCAUAUCAAACAUAACUAUUUUUCAAUUUUUCUUCUUUAUUUCAUUAAUAAAAUUAUCAAUCUAUUUGUUUUUAAAUAUAUAAUUUCAUUAAUAUUUUUUAAAUUAUAAUAUAAGAGUUGUUGUUUAUUUAUAGUUUUAUUACAUUAUUUACUCUCUCUUUUCUAUCAAGUUUUUUAAAUUAUAAUAUAAGAUUUAUUUUAUCAAUUUGUGGCUUAUCCAGUAUUCAUCUAUUUUAAUAAUAACUUGAGUUCCAGUCAUUAUCAUACCAGAAAGAGUUCCAUUUAUUCUUUAUCGUAAAUUUUAUAAAAAAAUAUACAUUUUAUUAUAAUACUAUAUGUGUUACGAAUAAUAUUUUAUUGUGGAUGCCCAUAAUUUUCAAAGUUGUAACCUCUAAUGUAGUAACCUUAAUGAAAUUAUGAGGCUUUUAUAUUGUAAUCAAGCCUCUAUUUAUUCUUUGUAACUUAAACAGAAGCAUAUUUUCUAUUAUAUUGAUAUUUUUUAUAGAUAUAUAUAUAUAUAUAAGGAAUCAAAUAAAAAGUUAUUUACCUUUCUAUUAUAUUGAUAUUUUCUAUUUGAUUUGUUCUUUUCUUUCACUAUUCCAUAAUAUAUUAUCAGUACGAUUUUAACCAAGAGUAACAUGUUAUUAGAUUGUGUCAAAAUUUUGUUGAGAAUCAUUAGAUUGUUUCCUUUUUCUUCUAUUUAGCCCCAAAUUGCACCCCUACACAAAAUUCAACAAAAACAUGGAAAAAUUAGUGGUGCACUCUCAUAAAUUAACCAAUUUAAUUACAUAAAAUAUGUAACUUUAGCAUUUUAUCAAUCAUGUUCUUUAGCGGCAUUUGUGGGUAAAGCGCCGCUAAAGGUCAUAUUCUUUAGCAGCGUUUGUGAUAAAAGUGCCACUAAAUAUCAUGUUCUUUAGCGGCGUUUGUGGAUAAAGCGCCGCUAAAGAACAUGACGUUUAGCAGCAUUUUUUUACAUAAACGUUGUAAAAUUUAGCGGCGUUGUCUAUAGCGACGUUUUUUGCGGUGCUUUCAAAUAGUUUUAGCGGCGCUUGUAGGCCUAAAAAAAUGCCGCUAAAAGUCUGUUUUGCUGUAUGAGCAUAUUUACAUUUUCGUCCCAAUUUCAACUAACACCCCAUCUAUUUCCCACUUCCCUUUUUCAGCCAAUUUCAACUAACACCUUCAUUUCAAACGUAAUUGUUUUUCGAUUUUUCCUCUUUAUUUCAUUAAUAAAAUUAUCAAUCUAUUUGUAUUUUAAAUAUAUAAUUUUAUUAAUAUUUUUUAAUUAUAAUAUAAGAGUUUUUGUUUAUUUAUAGUUUUAUUAUAUUAUUUACUCUCUUUUUUCUAUCAAGCUUUUUAAAUUAUAAUAUAAGAUUUAUUUUAUCAAAUGGUGGCUUAUCGAGUAUUCAUCUAUUUUAAUAAUAACUUGAGUUCCAAUCAUUAUCAUACCAGAAAGAGUUCCAUUUAUUCUUUAUCGUAAAUUUUAUAAAAAAAUAUAUAUUUUAUUAUAAUACUAUAUGUGUUAGGAAUAAUAUUUUAUUGUGGAUGCCCAUAAUUUUCAAAGUUGUAACCUCUAAUGUAGUAACCUCAAUGAAAUUAUGAGGCUUUUAUAUUGUAAUCAAGCCUCUAUUUAUUCUUUGUAACUUAAACAGAAGCAUAUUUUCUAUUAUAUUGAUAUUUUUUUAUAGAGAUAUAUACAUAAGGAAUCAAAUAAAAAGUUAUUUACCUUUCUAUUAUAUUGAUAUUUUCUAUUUGAUUUGUUCUUUUCUUUCACUAUUCCAUAAUAUAUUAUCAGUACGAUUUUAAUCAAGAGUAACAUUGUAUUAGAUUGUGUCAAAAUUUUGUUGGACUUCAAGUAUUGGAAUUUAAUUGUUUAAGUUAAGAAUCAUUAGAAUCAAUGGCUAUUUGAGAUAUGCUUGAGGAUGAUCUCAUUCUAUUCAUCACAAAGGUGGAGGUUAGAAAAUCUUUAUGUUUAAACAUUUAUAGCUUUAAAGUUAUUUUAACCUCUUAUUGUGACCUUAUAAUAUUUUGUAAUUUUUUGUAUUAUGGUAUAUAAAAAAAAUCUAACCAUAGUGAUUGAUUAGUAAUAUGAAUUUGUUAUUUGUUAUGUUUAAUAUAUAUUUUAUUUAUACUUAUUCAUUUUAUUUUUAUAUGAGUAAAUGAAGUGUUUGAAGAUUCGAAAUUUUUAUCAUCCAAGUUGAAAAUAAGUGCAAAAGUGUACAUUAUUUAAAAUAAAUUACGCAUUCAUUAAUGUUAUAUGAUAAAAUCAUUACAUGUUCUAAAGAACUAAUAUUGCAUCAAACUGUAAAAAGCUCUUGAAGAGUUAAUAUUUUACCUCCUUGUGAUACAAAAUCAUAUACAAUAUGAUAUUAUUUUUCAAAUCGAGUAGAUAUAUGUUGAGGGAAAUCUUUAUGUGGUUUACAUUAAAACCAUGGAUAGAAAUGACAUGAGAUACUCGUGUAUUUUUAUUAUAAAUAUUCCUUGAAGGAAGACACUUCACUUGUAUGAUUGACAUAUGAGAUAGUGGCAAGAAGUUCAUAGUGUUGGUAUGGUCGUCUAGAUCAUCUCAAAUCAAUAAUGAUGCAAAAUAAUUUGAAGAGAAUUUAUAUGAUUUUAUUGAAGAAUGAGAAGAUAUUUUCAUUUUGAUAAUUGUCAUCAAUACUAGUUCUUUGGAAAAAAAAUAUUGAACUAACAUAAAGUUAGAGGUUGGUUGCAUUUUUUGAUGAUAUCCAAAUAAUAUAUGAGCUCAUGUAUCACAUGUAUGCAACCCAAAGUUUACAGUAUUAUUUCUUGAAAUAAUUUGAUUCUACACAAUCUCUAUAGUAUGCAAUUUGUGCUAACAACGUUGGUGCAUUAUAUCCUAAGCUUGAUUUUCGUAGUUUUAGCUGAGAUAAUAUUAAGUUGUCUAUGCCUAUAUAUGUUAUACUUAAUGGUUAGCAAAAUUGUGCCUCCAUUUAAUUGCUUAACCAUUAAUAUAAGAAUAACUUUAAAAUAAGCAUGUAAUUUUAUUUGCAUAGAGUCAACAUGUAAGAAACAUUUGCCCCAUGAGAAUUGGCUUUCAUUUAUAAGCCAAUAGGUUUCAUAUGACUAUUUGGAUGUAAAAUAUCUAUUUUAUAUUCCACCAUAAUGCACUAAGAUGGUCCAUCAAGUAUGAAGUUGAGAAAAUUUAGAAUUUUUAUUUGAUGGUAAAAGUUGAAAAGAGAUAUAUACUUAUAAUUUUGAAAAAAAUAGUCAUGUUGCAAAUUUUUCUCAAUAUUAGGGGGAGACAAGUUGGACAAAUAAGGAUAAUUAUGUCAUCACUUUUUGUGAUCCCUCACUAAUAUUAUGUGCACAAAGUUUGAAGGAAAAAAGUAUUUGCUAGACAUGUUUAGUGAUGACACUUAGAGAUUGUAUAUACUAGAUGAUACAUAUACCAGCUAAAAUGUUCCAAAUAAUUAUGAGUCCUAGAAGGACAUAGUGAUAAAAAUAAUUUUUGGGCACGCUAGAAGGAUAAAAAACUAGUUCAUUCUAUAAAUCAAAAAAUUCUUGAAAGAAAAGAGUAAGAAAUGAAGCUGGCCACACAUUAAAGGAAACGAGUACUCAUGAAGAGACCUAAGGCAUAACUUUUAAUAAAACCCCAAAAGAGGUUCAAUACAUGGAAUUAUGAAUAUAAUAAGAUAUCUCGAUUAGUUAUAUCAUAACUAAAGAUGAUGGGGUUGAUAAAAGGAAAUUGUUGUUAACAACGAUAAUCUAAGUAGAACAUUUCAAUAUUAUGGUAAAAUGAGUAUUUUGAAUGAAAAUAUACUUGAAAGUAUUUAGAUGGGAACAACUCAUCAAAAUAAAUAGACGUUUCUAUUAUAACUUAUGAAAUGUGUCUCGGACAUGAAGUCCAAACAUUCGACAGGUGUAAAGCCAAGUGGAGUAUAUGUUAGCAUAAUAGUGAAAAAAUACAAAUCAUAAUAUAUAAAAUUGACUUGUAAGACAAACUUUCCCAAGACACUUGAUUUUGAUUAUGAAAAAUGAUUAAUUUGUGAUCUUAUCAAUUGAACAUACUUUGUAUAAUCAACAAAUUAUUAAUUAACCUCAUUUAACCAAUUUCCUUCAACACAUUUCAAAUCAAAUUAAUGUGUUGAGCACGCCCUUAACCCUUUUUCUUGAUUCAUUGCAUAGUCUAUUUCCAAGUACCAUAAUCAUCAACAUUUCAAUAUAUAAAGUCAUAACAUAAUGAAUCAUAGUUAGAAUUUUUUUUACCCUAUUAACCAAGUAUGGAACAAAAAUAAAAACCUAAUUUGUCAAGCUCAUUCAAUCAGCUUAUAUAUUAUAAGAAGAGCCUAAGUAUAAAUCCUAUACAUGAUUUCAAAUUCAACUAUUUAUAUUUGAGAUUCAAUUUAAAAUUCAUACUGAAAUUAUCAAAUUAACUCGUAAGCUACUCACGCUAAACAUUAAGGUACUCGAAUUCAAGUGGCUAGAUAUCAUAAACACUUUUAGCUUGUAAAACUAUUUCUAAGGGUCAGCCCAGAAUCAUGGUUGAACCCAAAAUCUGGUAACAAAAAUUUAAUUGAGCCAUCAGCCUAAAACAAAAAAGGCUUAAAAGGUUGGCACCCGAACAAUCAAAGAUAAACACCACCAUAUGCCACUCCCUGAAUCCGAUACAUACAAUAACACCCUUCACCACUUUUAUUCUUCUCCUUUUUUUUAACCUCAAUUUGGAUGGUCGCAUUUCUCUUUUUAGUGCUUUAUAGGGUUUGGGCUUUCAGAAUCCUCAGAGAUGCAAUUCAUGGAUCCCUCUAAGAAAUGCAAGCUUGAUGAAAAUGGUAUUAUUUCAACGGCAUCAGAACCUGACCCAAUCACCAAACUAACCCCACAAGAUGGCCGCAAGCUAAUCGAGCAAUUUAUCGUCGAUCAACUCCUUGACGUCCUCCAAGAUGCUGUUUGUUGUCACCUUGAUGUUCUUUCCGCCGUACACUCUAUUGCCGAUCAAGAUCCAUCUCAAAGGAAGCUUUUCAUCCGUGGUUGGGUUGGGAUACUACAACCCAACCCAACCCACAUUAGCAUACUACCAUGCGGUAACUUCUAGUGAUUUCUGUCUGUAACAUUAGACAGGUUAACAGUUAAAUCGUUCAACUGAAAGAUUUCUUUGAAGGAAGAGGUCAAUUGAUUUUUUUUGGAAUCAUUGUGUACUCAGUUGCAUUUAAGACGGGUAUCAUUCAUAAAGUAUAUAUCUACAUCAAGAAUGGUAGCCUCUUAUAUUAUAUUCAUGUAUUUAUUUUGCAUCUUUAAUUAUAAUAGGAUUUUUUUUGUUUAUUUAUAGUUUUAAUUAUAAUAUUUUUUAAAUAUGCCAAAGUAAAUUAUGUACCAAUUUUAAACUUCUCCUAGGUAAUUUAACGUAAGGGCAUUUAUGUUAUUUUACCACUUAUGAUAAAACUAACCUAAUUUUAGAUCUAAGUGUUUACCAACCUUCUUUUAGUCAAAUUAUGCAAGCCUAAAAUUUUUAGCUUAAUUUGAGUUUGUUUACUAUGUCUAAUUCAAGUUUUAUUAUUAAGAACUAAAUUGUAACUUAAACAAAUUAGAAUACCAAUUUAAAGAGACAAAAAUUCAAAGCCCCAAAACCCACACGGGCAUGUGGGUAAGUGACACAGGCGUGUGGAAACUGGAGCUAUCACACACGGGUGAGUGGGACUGAAAAAUAUGAAAUAAAUUAAUCCAUUUAAAUUUCCAACAACCAUGCUAUACUACCAAACCAAAUAAUGUUAGAAGCUUUGAAUAGGGGCGAAUCUUAAAAAAAAUAGAAGAAUUAGAAUUAAAUUAUAAAAUUUUGAGAAGUUGUCAUGUAUUAAUUUAUUAUUUUUUAAAGGGUCUUAAUAGAUUUUUUUUCCCCAUUUUGGUUUGGCCAAUACCCCUGUCUGCCUCUUUCAAUUUGCUUCAACCCUUAGCCCAAUAUUCGAUUUGUUGUGGAAGUUUGACGCAUAAAAAUUCCUUUUUUAGAGGUUUAAAUUAUAAAUUUUUAUUAACAAAAUAUAAAAGAAAAAAACAUGUGUAGACAAGCCAAGAAACCUUUGGGAUCAUACAGGUGAUUUUGAGAUGUUCAUGGUUAUUUUGGUGGAGAGGGUAAAAAAGAAACAAAUGAUUCAUUAUAUAUGAUAUAAUUAUGAAAUUCAAGCCAUAUAUUGUAUGUUUCAUCCAUACAAAUUUCUUGUAGCAUUAAAUGACUCGUAGGCUUGCUGAAUUUCUUUGAAAGGCCCAAAGGCAAUUUAACAUUCACAAAAUAAUCUCUAAAUAGUGUAAAGACAAAUCAAAUCCACAGUAGCAUUAGAGUUGAUUAAGCUAAGCAUUGGCAAAUAUUACUUUGAUUUUGCAUGCAAUAUUGGCAAAACCCCCUCUUACAUUAGAAAAACAACAUAAUCCAUGAAACAUUGAUAGCCCAAUACAAAUUUCAUCGAGAAAAAAGUCUCUUUGUUUUGUAGAACAUGAUAGUAAAGAUGUGGAGUUUCGUUCUUCUUAUUGGCCUCCUUUAGUUUUCCUUGAUCAACAACCACUAGCCAAAAACACAAUUAGAUUAGAUUAUGAAUGAUACUUUCAACUAUGACAAUAUUAAAUACAAACCACUCUAAAUAACUCUAAAUAAAUGGAAAGCAGCAAAUUACCAGACGAGGCAAGCUAGCUCAAUUAAGACCAUUGUGUUAUACUUGUCUCUGAAUUGAAAAAUUUAGAAGGAAAUAAAGAGAAAGACUUAGAAAAUACUUGAAAACAGAAAAAAAAAUUAUGUCAUUUAAAAUAAAAAAUUUCUAUUCAAGCCAUUUAAAAUUUGUAAGAUUUUUAAAAUUUUAAAAUGAUAAAGGUAAAAUUGUACUUUGGCACCCCAAAAAUGAUAAAACUUUGAUUUAAUUAUUUAAAAAUUAUAAAAAUAUAGGCUAUUAAAAUGGUGAAAUUAUAUUUUUACUAUAGUAAAAAUUACAAUUUAAUUUCACCCCUAAAAGGAUUUUCUGGCUUCGCACCUAAUAAAAUCUUUGGCAAAAGACUAAAAUAAAAUUAUACCAUGAAUGGAAAAAGAAACUAAUAAAAUCCAAUCUAACAAAGAAAAUAACUUGAUGUCCAAAAGCUACCAUAAACCGUAAUUCAUGGGAAGGCUUGUUGCUUAUUUUAUUGGUUUCCAUUUUGAAAGAAGUUUGAAUUUUGAAGAGAGCCUACUACGUGAAAGCAAAAGAAAAAAAAAUAGUUUAUAUGAUUAAAAUUCCAGAAUAGAUUAAAAAUGUUGAAUUAAAGAUAAAAUUAAGUGUGAAUUAAUAACCACAAGUGUACUCUUUACUCACCAUCUCUGUUAAAAAUGUUGGAUGUUGUUUAGCAACCUUUGUUUGAUUUUCUUCAGCUCAACCACAACAUCUUUCAUAUCUUUUCUUUCUUCUGGUAACUCAGCUGAACAAUUCAAAGCCAACUCCAUGAUAGAUGAAAUACAAUUUGCUUUAACAACAAUGUACUCAUCCUCUCUUCUUAAUAAAUCAACAUCUGCAAUUUCUAUCGCUCCUUUAGGCAAUGAUCUUUCCAUCCAAUGCCUUAUACUCUCUUCUUCAACAAAAACCUUAUCAGUUGGCUUUUUCUUUGUGAAAGUUUCUAUAAGGACGAUCCCAUAACUAUAGACGUCAGAUUUUAUAGAAACAAUUCCUGCUGAUCCAAAUUCUGCAUUUCAAGUAUAAUUAGAACAUCAUUCAUCCUCAAUUAUUUCUAAAACGCUUAUUCAAAUAUCUAUCCACAUACACGUGAAACAAGAAUAUAAAAUACAAAUUAGGAAAAUAAUCAUACAAAAAUAAAAAAAAGAAUUCACCUGGUGCCAUAUACCCAAUAGUUGCAAGAGUCAUGGUUUGCUUCAUUACUUCACCUUCUCCCAACAAUUUGGCAACGCCAAAAUCUCCAACAUGUGCAACCAUGUCUUCAUCUAGUAAAAUAUUGCUUGGUUUUAUGUCACAAUGAAUUAUAGGUGUUGGAUGUCCAUUGUGGAGGUGUUCUAUAGCUACCGCAACAUCUAUCAUUAUGUCGACCCUUUGUAUGAUACCAAGGAAACAAUUUUCAGAAUGUAACCAUUUCUCAAGGUUUCCAUUAGACAUGUAAUCAAGCACCAAGGCUUUGAAGUCAACACUUGAGCAGUAAGUAAUGACCUUCACAAUAUUACGAUGAACUAUAUUAAGCAUAGCAUCACAUUCAAUGUCAAAACUCCUAAAUGCUCCCUCUGUUUGCAAAUUGAAAACUUUUAUUGCAACUUCCAUUCCAUCUGAAAGCCUCCCUUUAUAUACAUAUCCAAAACUCCCUGAACCAAGCGUAUUGCUUUCCUCAAAUCCAUUAGUUGCUCGUGAAAGUUCAGCAUGUGAAAUUCUUCUCAGUGUCUUCAAAGACAACAAAUCAUCUUUAACUGGUAGAGCUGUACUCCUUUGGCAUCUUCUAUACAUAAUAGUUAAGACUAUUAGUACUAGGACAAUACCAAUUGUUGGUAAACCAUACCUAAAAGCAUGCAAUAUAAUCAUUUGGGAGUUUUUGUGGAUGUCAUUUUUGCAAGGUGGGACUAGCAAUCUAGGUGGACCACAAAGUGCACAAUUAUUCAUGAAUGAUGUGCUAGAAAAGUUUGAAAAACAUCCUUUGCUGGGAAUUUCCCCUUCAAGUCUAUUGAAAGACACAUUAAAAUACUUUAGAUAUAAAAGCUUUUCCAAAGAUUUGGGAAUGACUCCAGAGAGAUUGUUAUUGCAUAAAUCCAAGAAUUCCAAACUAAUCAACCCAUCAAAUGAUUCAGGGAUAUGACCAUGUAGUAUAUUAUUUGAUAAAUCUAAUGAAACCAAAGUUUGAAGACCCCCAAAUGUGGAUAAGAUAUCGCCCAUGAGAAGAUUCCUUGAUAAAUUUAGUCUCAGUAGACUCCUAAAGUUUCCAACAUCAAUAGCAUGCGAAUUGUGAAGAUGGUUUGAUGAUAAAUCUAUUUCUAAGAUAUCUUUAAGAUUCCAUAAAGUUGAGGGUAUUGCGGAACUCAAUUUGUUGGAAUCUAACCAAAGAUAUCUCAAAGCAGAAAUAUUACCUAAACAAGAGGGUAUGGAUCCAUGCAGCUUAUUCAACCCUAAAUACAUCUUGAAUAGUCUCUCCAAACCACAGAGGCUUUCUGGGAUAGGCCCUUCUAAUUUAUUAGAGGAAAGAAAUAGACCUUGGAGAUUUAUCAUUCCUCCUAUUGAUGCUGGAAUCAAUCCACUUAAUUUAUUAUAGCCAAGUUGUAAAACCAACAUGUUGCUUAAGUUACCUAUUUCCAUAGGAAUAAUGCCUUGAAGCUCACACUCUGUGGCACGAAAGUAUUGAAGGGAUUUUGAAAGGUUCCCGAAAUAAGUAGGAAGAACGCCACUCAAUGGAUUUCCUGAAACAAUUAUUCUUUUCAAAUGCUUGCAAUUCGUCAAAGAAGAAAGAAAGCUCCACUCAUGAUCAGUAGCAGAUCCUGUGAUCAAAUUAUUGUUUACGAUUCCGAACCAUUCAAGGUGUCUUAAGCUGCCAAGCAUUUUAGGGAUUGGGCCAGAGAAUAAGUUUUCUGACAAGGAUAGAAUCUUAAGCAUGGAAGCAUUGGAGAUAGAGUUGGGAAUGUUUCCGCUAAGUUUAUUUCCCCACAGUAAAAGAAUCUGAAGCUUUGGAGCAUUGGUAAUGGGUGGUAAAUUACCUGUAAAAUAGCAUCUUUUAGAAAACAUAUUCAUUGAAUACCAAAUUCACAAAAUAUAUAAUACAUUAAAAUAAAAACUGUAAAACUUUAAAUCAAUUAAGAAUAAAAUUUUGGCAUGGAAAAAUGUGAUGAAAUCAAUUAGAAAGUUGAGACAUAAUAAGAAGUUUUGAGUAGUAAUUAGUCCUUGUGAUUUGUAUAGACAAAACAUAUAAUACACUGAUAAUUUUUUUAAAAUAUUGUAAAACCUGAAAUAAAAUAAAAAAUAAAAGUUUGGCACAAGAAUGUGGCAUCUAAUCAUUCUUAAAAAUAAGACUAACAUUAAAUAAUAAUUAGUUAUGAUUUGAGAAACAAAAAUGUUAAAGAUGUAAACUGGUAUGAUUUUUAUCUAUUGGGUUAAUUAUUUAUUUUUAUUAAAUUAUAUAUAGUGUAAAAUUUAAAGAUUAUUAUUUGCUCAAAAUUUUUGUAUUUUUCGUAUAUUUGAAAUUUAAUCUUUAUAUUUUUUUAUUUUCUGUGAUUUAGUCUCUCUACUUUUUAAAUUGAAAAUUUUAAGUUUAUUUAUUAACACUGUUAAAAAGUUUUUGUGUUAGUAUGGCAUUUUGAAAAAUAAAAUAAACUUGAUAUCUAUGUUUUUAAUUAUUCCAAAUACUGUUUUACUAUUCCAAGAUAAAUUAUUUGUGUCUAGACCAAUAUCUGAAGAACUAUUGUUGCAUGUUUAAUUAUUCUAAAGAAUUGUUGAUUGAGUCUUAGUUGAAGUGCACUAUUCUCCUAUUUAUGAAUUGGGGAGUUGAUAAAGUACUAAAUUUUGAUAUAUUUUAAAAAAUUAAAAAUUUAUUAAAAUAUUUUUAUAAAAAUUGAUUGUACCAAAAUAUACAAUUUUAAUAUCAAAUUUUUAAUUUUUUAAAAAUAUUAGCGAAUAUAUACUUUAUUUCAAGUUACACAAUUUUUACUAGUUUUUAACUUUUUUUUUAAAUUUUUAUCGUCUUUUAUAAUUUCAUAUAAUUUUUUAUAAUUUUUUACAAUAUUUACAAUUUCUAACAAUUUUUAAUAAUUUUAUUAUUUAUUAUAAAUUUAAAAAUUAACAAAUUUUUAUUUUUUUAAAACAAUUAUAUAUUUAUAAUGUAGUUAUUUUUUUAUAAUUUUUUUUGAAAUUUAAAGAUUUUUUUGGUUUUUUCUAGAUGAUGAUGCCAUCAUGAUGUCAUCAUAUGCCACAUGGCAAUUUAUAAUUAGUUGACUAUCUCAAUCUAUUUUUUUAACGUCCAAUGGACUAAAACAAGAACACCUGAUAAUGUUAGAGACUACACUAGGAAUGUUUGAUAAUAUUAGGUACUAAAGUGGGCAAAAAAAAUUAAGGACUAUAUUAAAAAUAUAUCUAUAAUAUAUAUAAAUGCAUGGAUUUUGAGAAACUUUUGAAAUGACAAAUAUAUAGUCUUUGUUUUUUUUUACUAUAUUAUUGAAUUUUUUAUUUUAAAUAUUUUUUUAUUACUUUUAAGAUUUAUCAUAUGUAUGGAUAAAAAUUUUGGUUUUACUAAAAUAUUUGGUUAAAUAAAUUCACUUUAUAAAAAAAUUUAGCAUCCUUAUAAAUAACAAUUUUGAUUCCAUUAAAAAAAUUAUUUAAUAAUAUAUAAUAAAAAUUUAAAAUUUAUAUUGAAUCACUUUAUACUUAAAUUAUUAUUAGAAACUUUAUCAUACACAUAUGUGUAUGAGAACCACGUUUUCAGAACUUAAAUUUGUGUUCUAAAAUAACUUAUGAUAAAUAAUUAAAUGUAUAAUUUGAAAUUAUAUUGAAAUAAAAAUAGAUUAAAUUGUAAGUAAAACAUAUAUAAUUUAAACAUAUGAAUACAUCAAAUUAAAAAUACUAAAUGAAUACAUUUAUUUAUGAUGAUGUUGUUGUCAAUUCAUAAGUUGGUGUCGAGUUAAUUUGUGACAUCAUAAUUUUAAGUGAUAAAUUUAAGGUUUUAUGUAUUGAUGUCGAUUCAAAUAUCACCAUAAUUUUUUUAAAUAAAAAACUAAAGCACCCUCAAAUAAUAUAACUUAUAUUAAAUAUGAAAGGGUAUUUUUGUAAUUUCUCUAACGAGUUGGUGCCCGGUUGACUCAUGACACCAACUCAAUCAAAAGCUUCAAUAAUAAUAUAGAUAUUCACGUUUAAAAAAAGUACUUUAGUUCGAAAUAAUUAUAUAACAAGUAAUUUUAUAAUUGAUGAAUAAUUUUAUAAAAAUAUAUUUAUAUAAUCUAAUAUAUUAUAUUUAUAUUAAUUAUAUAUCAUCUACAAACUUUGAAGAUCAAUUUAUUAAGUAUCAGGAAAAGAAAAAAUGAAAUUGAAUUAACACUAAAUCAAUUUUUAGAUUUUGUACAGAUGAUUUAAUGAUGAUAAAAACAUUAUUAGCACUAUUUUUGAAUUAACAAAAAAUUAGUGAUAUAUUUUAAUUAUAUUUUUUAUUUUUUAUUUUUAAUAAUAUUUUUUUAAUUAUAUGAAGUAAAAUUAUAUUGUAUACUAAAUAUGGUACAUAUACUUUAAUUAAAACUUGAAAAAUUAUUAUAUAAAUUAAUAUAUUUUAAUUAUAUUCAACCAUUUGAAUAACAAAAUUAAAAAAAACUAAUUAGAAUUAUUUACUUUUUAAAGUUUAAUGGAAAAUAAAAAAUUAAAAAUAAAUCAAUUCAUAUAAAUCUUAUUGUUUAUUAUCAGAUUAAAAUGAUAAAAGUAUAUGACAUACAUAGAAGAAACAAAUUCAACACAAUGUUUUUGGAGUUUGGAAAAAAUUAAAGUGAAAAACAUACCUUCUAAUUUGUUGUUAAAUAGAUCUAUUUCUUCGAGCGUAGUUGAAUUAAAAAUACUUGAUGGAAUCUGACCUGCACACAUAGUCGAAAAUUGAAGUGAAAUCAAACUCUUUUGUGAAAAAAAUAUUACCAGAUAAUUCAUUCCAACCCAGGUAAAGCCCUUCAAGCUUGGGAAGAUGUUGACACAUAUCAUUAAGCAAACUACCUGAUAGGCUAUUGUUGGAGAGAUCAAUGGUCUUCAGAGAAGAAAUGUUGAAGAUCGAAGUUGGAAUCUGACCUGUAAGGCCUUUAAUUGCUUUAAUACUAAGCAUCUCCAAACCAAGAAGAUUACCGAUUUCCUCGGGAAUUUGACCUGCACACAUAGUCAAAAAAUCAAGGUGUCAAACUAUCUAUUUUGUUAGCAUAAGUCAAAGAGGUUUUCUUUUCUGUUCUACAGUAAUUUGAAGAUGUUAGAUUUUAAUAUAUUUCAGCAUAUGUUUUUCAUCAAAUGAAAUAAAAAGUUUUUCCUUUUUAUUAUCUAUUACAAGUCAAACUCUUUUAUAAAAAAAAAUACUUUAAAUUCAAGAAAUCAAGGAAAUUGAUUACCUUCUAGAUUAUUAAACCGCAAAUAUAAUUCCAGGAGUCGUGUUAGAUUUCCAAUACUUCUUGGAAUGAUCCCCGUCAAUUGAUUCAAGGACAAGGACAAAUUUUUAAGGUUGCUGCAUUUUCCCAUACUUGACGGAAUGUUACCAGAUAACUCGUUGCUAUGCAAGUAAAGCACUUCAAGCUUGGGAAGAUGUUGACACAUAUCAUUAGGCAAACUACCUGAUAGGCUAUUGUUGGAGAGAACAAUGGUCUUCAGAGCAGAAAUGUUGAAGAUCGAAGUUGGAAUCUGACCUGUAAGGCCUUUAAUUGCUUGAAUAUUAAGCAUUUCCAAACCAAGAAGAUUACCGAUUUCCUCAGGAAUUUGACCUGCACACAUGGUCGAAAAAUCAAGGUGUCAAACUACCUAUUUUGUUAGCAUAAGUCAAAGAGGUUUUCUUUUCUGUUCUACAGUAAUUUGAAGAUGUUAGAUUUUAAUAUAUUUCAGCAUAUGUUUUUCAUCAAAUGAAAUAAAAAGUUUUUCCUUUUUAUUAUCUAUUACAAGUCAAACUCUUUUAUAAAAAAAAUACUUUAAAUUCAAGAAAUCAAGGAAAUUGAUUACCUUCUAGAUUAUUAAACCCCAAAUAUAAUUCCAGGAGUCGUGUUAGAUUUCCAAUACUUCUUGGAAUGAUCCCCGUCAAUUGAUUCAAGGACAAGGACAAAUUUUUAAGGUUGCUGCAUUUUCCCAUACUUGACGGAAUGUUACUAGAUAACUCGUUGCUAUGCAAGUAAAGCACUUCAAGCUUGGGAAGAUGUUGACACAUAUCAUUAGGCAAACUAUCUGAUAGGCUAUUGUUGGAGAGAACAAUGGUCUUCAGAGCAGAAAUGUUGAAGAUCGAAGUUGGAAUCUGACCUGUAAGGCCUUUAAUUGCUUGAAUAUUAAGCAUUUCCAAACCAAGAAGAUUACCGAUUUCCUCAGGAAUUUGACCUGCACACAUGGUCGAAAAAUCAAGGUGUCAAACUACCUAUUUUGUUAGCAUAAGUCAAAGAGGUUUUCUUUUCUGUUCUACAGUAAUUUGAAGAUGUUAGAUUUUAAUAUAUUUCAGCAUAUGUUUUUCAUCAAAUGAAAUAAAAAGUUUUUCCUUUUUAUUAUCUAUUACAAGUCAAACUCUUUUAUAAAAAAAAUACUUUAAAUUCAAGAAAUCAAGGAAAUUGAUUACCUUCUAGAUUAUUAAACCCCAAAUAUAAUUCCAGGAGUCGUGUUAGAUUUCCAAUACUUCUUGGAAUGAUCCCCAUAAAUUGAUUAUAGGAGAAGGACAAUUUUUUUAAGUUGCUGCAUUUGCCCAUACUUGACGGAAUGUUACUAGAUAAAUCAUUCCGACUCAGGUGAAGCCCUUCAAGCUUGGGAAGAUAUUGACACAUAUCAUUAGGCAAACUACCUGAUAGGCUAUUGCUGGAGAUAUCAAUAAUCUUCAGAGAAGAAAUCUUUAAGAUGGAAGAUGGAACCUGACCAGAUAAUUGAUUGAAUCCCAAGUUUAAGAUCACUAGAUUAGACAUGUUAACAAGUGUUUCAGGGAUUGUGCCUGUAAAGUUAUUAUUUUUCAUUUUUAGCCUUCGAACUCUCUGUAAGUUCCCAAGCCAUGAUGGAAUUUCCCCAUUCAGACGGUUGUAGCUUAAUUGAAGGAUCCUCAAACGAUGCAAUUGGCCCAAUUCUUUAGGGAGAUGGCCAUAGAAAUGGUUGCUACUCAAGUCGAGAGAGAGUAGAAAUGAAAGAUUUCCAAGGUGUGGAGGGAUAGUACCCCUAAGAUUCAUGCUUGUAAGAUUCAAAGCUAUAACUCUUUUAUGGAGGAUGCCACAAGAAACACCAGUCCAAUUGCAAACAGAGGUUGAGGCCAUCCAAUUGUCUGCCAAGACAUUUUGAGGAUCGGCAAUGCGAUCCUUAAACUCGAGAAGUGCAAAUUGAUCGGAGUUGAGAUUC
rnacentral:lncRNA from 1 species